AUGUUUUUUUUUUUUUUUGUAGGGAAUCGUUGGGACUUUGAUGGUUAAAGUUGAGGAGUUGAGGAUUAUGACACUAUAGGACCAUAUCCGCUAUCACCACCACCACAAUAGACUUGUAUUAGGAUUUUAUUAUUGUAAUUUGUUAAUUUAUAUGUACAUAUUUAAUAAAAUGUAUAUUGUGGAUAAUUUGAUCACUAUUUUUCGUAUUUAUUUUAUUUUGAAUAUGUCAAUUUAAAUUAAAGUAACAAAAAAAAAUAAAGCCAUACAAUUAAAUUAAAUUAAAAAUUAAAAAAAUCUUGCACUAACAAAAGGUCAAUUUAAUUAAAUAAAAAAUAAAAACAAAAAACUUUUGUGGCUCAAAAUCUUGCGCUACCAAAUAUUUUGUUGCGCAAAAUAUUAAAUUAAUUUAAUUAAAUUAAAAAAUCAAAAAUAACAAAUUUUGCGUGACAAACCAUGCUUUCGUCGCGCAAAGUUUUGAGUGAUGAAAUCUUACUUCGCGCAACAAAUCUUAUUUUGUUGCACAAAGUGUUUUUUGUAACUGUGGGUACAGCUUCAAGUUGGCUGCAAAAGCAUAGAAAUCGCCUUUUGGAUCGAUGGAAUCUUUUAUUGAAAAGGGAAAGAGUGGAAAAUGGAACUGUAGUUUUAAAUUGGCGAUUUACGGGAAGGAUAUUUUUAUGGAAUGAACUAUGUGGAAGAUAUAUGCAUGGAAGGUUCUAAUUGAGUGAAUGAUACAUGGUCUCAGCAAACUUUUCACUUUGGACUGCUCUCUUUUGUGCAUCUGUUGUGUGGAUUUAUUUGCUUUGAAGGUACUCAAAGUAGAAUAAAAAUUGGAACAAUCACUGAACAAAUUUAAUCGGCUAGGAAUGAGCUAACAAUAUAUAUAUCAAACACGCGUAAGCAUGCGCGUCACAUAUAACUCCAUCCUGCAAUUAUAGGAGGGGAGAAAUCAGGAGUCGCAGAGAAUAACCAAUGCGAGCAUAUGUGAGCACCACCAAUCAGCAAUGCCGACCAUUUUGGGUGCACCAAGGAAUUGUUAUCAAGUCGUUGGAAGAUCAAGAUAUUCAAGAUCACGUAAUAGCUAGCUAGAUAGGGUUGUGUAGAGUAUAACGACGUGGCUGGGUUUGAAGCAGCAAAUAAUUAACAUGGUAUUUUCGUUCUUGUACGGUGAUUCUUGAUGUCAGAAGAAUCAUAAGGAACAGACCAAGAUAUUGUGGGCGCAAGGAUUCGAUUGUGUCCUCACACUCAUUUUCCUCGUCAACUUGUCGUUCUUCUCAAAGUGCAUAUUGCAAGUCUUGGCUCCACGUUGGUUUUGCCUGCAGUAGAAUAAAUUUUAACAGCUGUGAGUUUAUGCCAAAGCCGACCCACAAGCAAGCCGAACAAGACAUGUGCUUUGGGCAUGACAAGGAACUAAGUUUCGUAUUUUCUUUUCAUACCCGUAUUUUACGAGACUGGCUAUAAUGCUUACUUGUAUAUGAUACAAUCAAAUAUUUGACAGUGAGAUAUAAGUCAUGUGAUAUUUAUAUAAUACAAUCAUCAUCUAACCGUCAAAAUAAUGAUUGUAUUGAGUACAUGUAAGUAUUGUAGUUAAAUUCCAACAUUCUUUGUUUAGUUAAUUCAAACUGUUUAAUCUGACCAUCGAGAUGACUUUCUCACCUCCACAAAUAAAUUGUAAUGAUUUUUUUUUUUUAUCUAAGAUAGAAAUUGUUGUUUGCUACACAUCUAUCAGAGGUGGGCGUACCCUACUAACCCGAGAGCUUGAGGCAUGCAUAAUGUGAACUUGGCAUGAGGUGGUGAUAUGAAUUAUUCUUCCACUUGACUUAAUUCUUCAUACAACCAAUCACUUUUAAUGCCUUCUUAGUUAUAAGACCACGCUACAAGACUCGGCGACAAAUUAGUUAAUAUUAUGUUCUUUAAAUAAUUAUUAUCUCAUGGGACAAAGAAUCAAUAGGGAAACAUCAUUUACAUGAUUAUGUCUUAAGAAAGCUAGGUAGGCAAGCAUUGGUCGAAUUAGAAUGUGGAUUAUUGAUGCAAAUUUCCGCCAUCUUCAGUCUUGACGAAAAUGCACCUGCAAAACAAUUAACAUCUUUAAUCAAGGACCUAAGCCUCACACACCCACGAGGUGGGGGGGGGGGGUUAGGCCAAUGGAUCUCUGAUGCCUAAGUUAGUUUCUCUAUGAGAAUAAAGUGUUUAGGGCCUUUUAAGGGUAGCAAAAGCUUCUGAAAUUUGGUAGAAUAUAGGGUAUUUAUAGGGAUAGAGCCAGCCAUAGUCUUAGGGUUUAUGGAGAAAUAUUAUCAAGAUAUUAAAUAGGAAAUAAUAUCUUGAGAUAAUUGAGUAAUUAUCCCUAAUUGAUUUAAAUUGAGAUUAUUUACUUGAUUGGAGUCAAUCUUCAAUUAGGAAUGUAUUAAAUAUAGAAUUUGGGUAAUUAAUCCUUAUCUUUAAUGCUUUGACUUUUCCUUGCCAAGGGCAGGUGAGCUGGGGGCAAUCGUAUUCAGUUGCUGGGACCUUCAGGGGUGUGAGCUGUGCAUGGGAGCAUCUAAGAAGUCUGCACAUUUGUUGAAGGCAAUCUUGUCUUUCUUGGGAAAAAGCCCAUGUGUCGCCUCUACAAUUAAUGAGAUUAUUUUAGGCUCCACAAAUGCCCCACACCUACUGGGCGGCACGUAGAAAAAUGGCAGUAGGUGUAGAAAUCCCAAGCUAUGUAGGCUUGUAUAGUUGUUUCCCAAUUUGAAUUUGAUAUUCUUUCUUGAUUUGGAGAUAAACUUCUUCUAGGAAAAGGAAACCAAUUGCCCCCAAUACCUAUUUAAUUCUGCCUUAAGCAGGGGAUUAAAUAAAUUUGGAGAACAAUCAUCAUUCCAACAAGGAAGAGAAGCCAAAGGAAAUUUUUCUUCCCCCUCCCCUAACUUUCUUCUUCUCUUGCCCUUGCAAGGAAUCGUCUCUUGUUGUAGUUCUUCUUUUCCGUGCCGCACCAAGGUAAGAAAAAUUUGAAUUUUCUUCUUCUUGAUUUCUUUGGAGUCUUGGGACUUGAAAAUUGGCUCGGUAAUGGUCGAUGAGGUGUUAAACAUACAACAAGGAUGCCAUAGGGCUGCUGGUGGUGCGGCAAGGGAGUCAGCUGGUGUGGGCCAGGGGUUUGGCUUAACUUGGGCCAAGAAGAGAGGUGAGUUGGGGCGUGGAGAGGCCAACUUGGGCUGAACCUUCAAAGUUGGUGAGGGAGAGAAAGAGACCGGUGCGGGCUGGGUCUUUUGCUGGCGUGUCAGGCUAUGUGGCCUUGGGCCCUUUGUGGUCCUGUGGUCUUUGGGCAAUACUGUGGAACGCUGGGCGCGAGAGAGAGGGAUAACAUGGUCUGGGCCGUAGAACCUGGCUUGCUGUUGGGUUCCUGUAGCUUGAGCCUGUGCGGAGAAAGAGUGUGAGGGCCAUGGGGCAUAGCCAGGGGCGUUGGGCUCGCAGUUCUUUUUAUUUUGUUUUAUUUAUAUAUUUUUUUUGCUUCUUUCGCGAGCUGUCUUCCUCCAAUCGCAAAAGUGAUGAAUAUCCUCCAAUUUUGUAUUGUCAAGGUGGUUUUUCUGGCAAGGUGGGCUAUUUCAAGGCUGCGCAUGUCAAGAUCAAUUUUGAGGAGUUGUUUCGGGAUUAUUUUCUUGAGCCUUACGAGCAUGCAAUUCCGUCAGGGGUUUGCGACAAGCGGGUGAAGGAUGAUAGCGGCCAUAAACCAUGCAGUGAGGGCACCACUACUAGGAAGAAGGCUAUCAAAUUCCAUUCGUAUUACUUCGUGUUGGGAUUCAAUUUUCCCAUGUCGCGUCUUUUCCAAGAGGUGAUAUGCUCCAUGAAAUGCACGCCUGCUCAGUGCUCCCCCAAUGCAAUUCGUGCGAUAGUGGGAUUCCUCAAUCUGAGCAAAUUCUUUAAUCUUGGCUUAGCCAUAAAUGAGUUCUGGUACUUUUUUGAAAUCGACCACAAGGAAGGUGUAGGGCAUCUGAGAUCUCACCAUAAGCCGCUCGAUGCUCCCUGCAAAGGUGAUUAUGAAUGGGCAAGAGACACCUUAGAGGUAAGUGGAGAUUAGAAGUUUGACUCCUCUCCUGAGCUGCGCGUUCCAACUGUCUUUAUUAGUGGUAAGUGAACUGCUUCAUUCUUGUCCUACUUGAAUUUUUGUUAAGCUGCUCCAUGACUUCAAUUUACUGAUCGUCAUUCUUACUUCCAGUAGAUUCAGAAUUUGGCUCAACUCCAAAAACUUUGGCCGAUAUGAAGAAAGUGCACAUCGCCUUGGGCAUUUCUGCUGAAUACCUUGAGUGGCGCUGAUUGCUCAGUCCUCUUCGUUGGGAGAAAGGCGGGCUGCCUCCGAAUGAAGAGAUAAAACGGAUAAAGGAUAAGGCGCUUGCUCAUCUAAUCGCUGUUGUAGAGCCUACUGCUAAUGAGGGUGGAAAGAAGAGAUCUUAUUCACCUGCCAGUAGGCUUUCGAUUGAGAAAAAGCCAAAGACUUCUUCUGCUGCUCGUGAAGGCUCGUUAGCUACUAAAAAGCUUGUGAUUGAUUUGACUUCUCCAAAGGGGACAAAAAAGUCCAUUCAGCCUGAGCCUGUGAAAUCUGCUGUUUCGAAGGUGGCCACGUCCACUGCUGAAAAGAUUGCCUAGCGAAAAGGUUCAGUGGUGCCCCCAAUGUCCGAGUUUGUGUCGAAUAGCCCUUCAGGAGCUAAGUCCCGUUCAGCUUAUGAGAGGCUCACUGCUAUGAAGAACAUGAAGGUGGAUUCUAUUACUAAGGUAGCACUGGGCAUGUUCCUCCUUCUGCUACGACUUACUCGUCUGCUGAGAAAGGGAAAUUUGCUCACAUGGGUAGUUGUGAGAGAUCCACCGAGUCUGAGGCUAGUGAGUUUCCCGAGGUUUAUGUGCUGCUGAAGGUUGACUUGCUUGAGGAUGUCAAUGUAUGCGCCAAGUUCAUUGACAGUGUCGUGAAAGUUGUCAUCCGAUCAAACUCUUUUGCGAAACAUCCUGCCUAUUUGAGGAGGUCCUUCCUGAUUGCCACAAUGCAUAAGACUUUGAUCCUAGCAGUUGAGUCUAUGCACAUUGAUCAAGAUGUUGUCAAGUGUGUUAUGGAAGCCGAAGUGGCAUUAAUGGCUUAGCUUCGCUCAGUUGCUAAAAAGAUUGAGAAGCUCAAAUCAGAACUAGUCAUUUUGAAAGGGUCUAAUGUCUCUACCCUCAUUUCUAUACAACUGGAGACCGCUCAUCAGGAGGUCGCGUAUUUAAAGGCUAAGCUUAGUGCGACUCAGUCAAUGAUGGAAGCUGCAGAGAAGGAAGUCAGUCGUGUUUCUCUAGUGGUCAAGGACCUUGAGCGUGUCAAUUCGGAGCUACAAUCUGCUUAUUUUGCCAAUGACGAGGAGUUUGUCUUCAUGCAUGCUACAGUGUCUCGUCUUAAGAAGCUUGUUUUCAUGCAUGCUGUCUGCUAGCGAAACCUAAGAAAUGAACUAGAUGAGCUACAGGGUGCUCACACUAGGCUUGUUGAGGAAAAUGUAUAGCUGAAGAAUGAGAAAGCUAAUCACAAAGUGGCGCUUGCUUCUUGUCAGGCUGAUUUCUACAAGCUUGGCUAUGUAGACCAUCUUCAGGGUAGGCCAUUAGAUUAUGAGUUUUCCAAGAAGGACUUCGAGACUUUCUCUAUUUCUCUAGUUGAUCUACUUGAUUUCUCGUUUGAGGCUGCCUUUGGUGAAGCAGCUGAAGGUCAGGCAGUCCAGGCAGAGGUAACUGAGGAUGAGCUGAUGGAAGCUUUAGCUGCAAAGAGCGAAGCAGUUAUUGAAGGUGUGGCAGUUGAGGGACUAGUGGUUACGCAAGCUACCGACGAGUAACCUUUUUGCUUAGACUUAGGAAUUUUCUUUUUUUUUCCUUUUCGUUUUGCUUUAUUUGAACUUUGUGGGCCUUCAAGCUAGUUUAUCAAUUUCUUAGAAAUUUAAUAAACAGAUUUCCUUGCUUUGCUUCAAUCUUUCUAUUUUGCCAUGUCUUUUGCGAAACUUUACAGUAGGAUGGGCGGCUGGGUAAGUUGCUUCAAUGAAGCAGUCAAUCCCACGUCAUCACUUAGGUUUUAGUUUCGGCUUUAGGGCUUCAGGAGCCUUGCUUGCUUGAGGCGACUUGCAAAACUUUACCGUAAGACAGGUGAUUAUGUUGGCUACUUCGAUAGAACAGUCGAUCCCACGUCGUCACGUUAGGCUUUAGUCUUGCUUUGGGGCUUCUAAAGAUUUACCUACAAGAGGAAAAAUGCGAGAUUUAUAACUUAUAAAGCCAGCGGCCUAACUCGUCACCUUCUCCAUGUAGUGCAGUAAUUGGUUAUGUGCCCGAGACCUCUGUAGAAUGCGCAGUACUUUGUCUGAUCCAUCUUGGAUGGGUAUUCUCUUAUAGACAGUGGCAGCUUGAACCACGACUUGUCCUUGAGGUCACGAAGGAUCGGGUUGAUCGGGAUUAAGAACUUGGUGUACAUUUUGGGCACCGUGCCUCCUUUCAUUAGGGAUCGAUCCUUGCGUCUGCUUCCUGGCUUGUUUUUAUUAUUGAGCGCUUUGUCACUAGCCUUCUUCUGAGUCAUCUCUGUGUCUUUGCGUAGCUACUCAGGCUACUUUUGGGAGGGUUUGGCCUCAUCCCAAAAGGAAUGCUUUUUCGCCAAAGCAUAAGAGUCUGCCAGGGUCAAGUUCUCGUCCAUGAUUACUUCUCUAAAAAGUGGGUGAUUUGUUAGAAGUCCAUUUCGGAAGGCUGAGCAUGCAAUGCUGUCAUCGCAUCCGACGAUCUUAGCAUUCUCCACCUUAAACCUCUUGACGUAAAUACGGAGUGGCUCAUUCGGGUCAUUCUUCAUGUUGAAGAGGUGAUCAAACUUCUUCUUGAUCAAGUGGUAGGACGAAUAUUUCAUAGUGAAAACCAAGGAAAGUUCACUGAAGUUCCUGAUUGAUCGUGACAGCAGGGUGUGGAACCAAUCUUGCGCUUCGCCUUAGAGCGUUGUGGUAAAAAUCUUGCACAUGAGAGCAUCGUUGUUGGUGUAGAGGGUCAUGUCGGUAGUGCAUCAGGUGCCUGUCCGGAUCUUCAUCUCCUUUGAACAAGGUGAAAUGUGAUAGGCUGAACUUCCGCAACGACUCCAUCUGCUUAUUCUCAUCUGUGAACGGUGACCUGCUCAAGUUGACCACAUCUCUACGAAGGGCAUCGUCAGAAGUGCCAAUACGCUGGAAUCCGCGCAGCUGCUCUGCUACGAGCCUUUGUAUUUCUUCCUGGAUUUGUGCUUAGUGAGGCAAUGAAACCUCUAACUGCCCCCGGUGUUGACCUGCUGGUCCAUGUUGUUCUUUGGCAUGUCUUGCUCGUCUGUGUCGCGGUCACGGUAAACUAUGAUACUUGCCGUAACACUGGGCGGGGGCUGCCAGUGGAACUUGAGCUUGAAUGCCCUCGUGCUCUCCUAUGUCCAUCAUGAGGCUGCCUACUCCGAAGCCUCGUAAAAGGAUUUCUUUGUGGGCCUAGCCUCAUGUGGACACUUCUCCUGGAAUGUCCUGAAUGCUCGUCGGAGUGUGGACCCAACCUUGAAUGCACACUGACUCGUGAACUGAGUCAAGAAUUAGCGUUUAUCUGCGUAUCUAGGCAGGAGAAGGCGCUUCCCUAAGGGCCUAAAAGAGAGUUCACACUACUUGAAUGUGAGAAUCUUUGUCAGGACGUCGCUAGACUGAGUCAUGUUCUUCCGCCCUUGUCCUACUUCUAGACACCUCAUUUGGGGCGUACUGCAUCUUGAUAUGCCUGAUAAGUUGGUUCAUUAAGGUGGUCUGCUGUAAGAGGGUGCUCGUCAAAUUAGCGACCUGUUGGGGCAGGUAGGGCUCGUCAUUUGGAUUAGAAAAGUCUGGAUAAUGGGUGUCUCCAUGUAUAGUGGAAGUGUAGUGGACUGCAGGUACAAAACUUGAGCCCAAAGCAAGCAUUCCUGCAGAAAAAUAAGGUGAAAAUAACCUUGAAUCGAUCACGUGAUCGGUGGUCAGAAUCUGGAUCACCGGAGGUAGCCUCGGGUUGGAUUGGGCCACAAGCUGGGUUGUCAAAGUGGGUCGCAGGGCGGGCCAACCCAGCUGGGUGGUGAGGUUCUGCGUGUGGUCAUGUUGGGCUCACGCAUAUGGCAACUGGUCUUGGGCCUGCACUGUGUGCUGGGCCGGUAUAUGAUCUUCGUAUUGGGUCUGGGCUACGCAUGCAAUAGGAAUGGCUUGGCGCUGUGUUUAGGUUAUGGCUACUUGGGUUGUUAGUUGGGUUCUAACUACUGCAUCUUGGGCCUUCUAAGCUCAGCCUGCUUCUCUAUGGACUUGGGCCUUCUGCCCAUGGGCUAAUAAAUAGACCUGGGCCCUCCCGCCCAGGGUUUUAGGAAUUGGGCCGCUGCAAAGGCAAUGUUGCAAGAGCUUGUGCCAUGGCCUGGUGGCUUUGUUGUGGCUACUGGGUCACGACGGUAAUGGUGAAGCAGCUCCGCAGCGGCGGGGCUCCUCCUGCCAUCGCGUUGAGCCUUGAUGAUCUAUGUCGUAGGGCUAUAUCCUCGUCUCCACUAUUCGAUCUGAAUCCUUGUACAUACGGGGUUCCGUUCGUUGUGGUUUCUAAAUUUCCUACCAUUGUAUCAUUUCUCCAAUGAUUGAUCAAGAAGCUUUUCUAAGAAAAAUUAAUUGAUACGACGUGUGAGAAAUUCAAUGUAACAGAAAAUUCAAGAAACCAAUGCAAAUUUCCGCCGUCUUCAGUCUUGACAAAAAUGUACCCGCAACACAAUUAACACCUUUAAUCAAGGACCUACGCCUCACACACCCACGAGGUGGGGGGGGGGUUAGGCCAAUGAAUCUUCGAUGCCUAAGUCAGUUUCUCUAUGAGAAUAAAGUGUUUAGGGCUUUUUUGGGGUAGCAAAAGUUUCUGAAAUUUGGUAGAAUAUGAGGUAUUUAUAGGGAUAGGGCCGGCCAUAGUGUUAGGGUUUAUGGAGAAAUUUUCUCAAGAUAUUAAAUAGGAAAUAAUAUCUUGAGAAUUGAGUAAUUAUCCCUAAUUGAUUUAAAUAGGGAUUACUUACUUGAUUUGAGUCAAUCUUCAAUUAGGAAUGUAUUAAAGAUAGGAUUUGGGUAACUAAUCCUUAUCUUUAAUGCUUUGACUUUUCUUUGCUAAGGGCAGGUGAGUUGUGGGCAGUUGUAUUCAGCUGCAGGGACCUUCAAAGGUGUGAGCUGCGCGUUAGAGCAUCUGAGAAACCUGCCCAUUUAUUGAAGGCAAUCUUGUCUUUCUUUAGUUUGAUUUGGAUAUUUGUGGCUUGGUUCCAACCUCUUUACCACCUCUCAAAAUGAUGGCUUUUGCAGAUUCAAAUCCACCUUUUGGGUUGACAACGGUUGAACUAGGCUAUUUGCCUUGCUCUUUGAAUUGGCCCAUGAAUUACGCCAUUUGCCCCAUUUGCUUCUUCAAUUCAUCUACCUCUUUGGCUUGAUUUUGCAUUCCCUGCACCACAUUGGUUAAUAAUUGAACAAUUUGAUCGUUAUCCAUGAACGAACCUGAUUUUGGUUGGGCAAAUUGUGGUUGGGGUUGUGUUGGUACGUAUAGCCUUGGAAACAUCCCAGGGGGUGGUGGUCGAAAUCCUCCUUGUUGUGGAAGUUGUUGAGGCUCCCUCUAUUUCAUGUUUGGAUGAUCUUUCCAGCCCGGAUUGUAAGUAUUAGCAUAUGGAUCAUAUUUGGGCUGGUUUUGGCCUUGAAACCCAAUGGCUUUGGCACUUUCCCAUCCUCAAUUCUCAAUCAAUUAAGGGCAUUUUUCAGAUUGGUGUCAUUGUAUAGAGCACAUGCCAUAAAUUGUGUUUUCUUGCACUUUGGGUCUUUCAACAACCUGUGACAUAAGAAGAGUGAGAUUAGCCAAUUGAGAUUGAAUUUCAGAAAUUACACUUACCUCAUUCACAUGUUGCGGCCGUGGGGGUUCUUUCUGUCCAACUCCUUCGUAUUGUUAUGCAUUCAAGGCUUGGUUGGCAAUUUGGGUCUUGGCAGGUGUUUGUCAACCAAAGCUCAUCCCGCUGAGGCAUCUAGCAUUUGUCUUUCAAUGGGAAGAAGUCAUUCGUAGAAAUAUUGAAGGAGAAGCUUUUCUUUCAUUUGAUGUUGAGGACAUGAUGCAACGAGAGUCUUGAAACGCUCAUAAUACGCUGGAAAGAAUUCUCCUUGAUUUUGUUAAAUGCCACUAAUUCUCUUCCUCAAAGAAUGACUCUUGACGUUGGAAAGAACUUCUCUAAGAAUGCUCUCUUCAUGCUUUCCCAAGAAGUGACUGUUCCAGAUGCCAAUUCAUACAACCAAUCCUUAGCCUUUUCCAAAAGAGAGAAUGGAAAAGCAAGUAAAUUAAAGACUUAAAUAAGUUUGCACAAAAUUGGGGGAAAAUAUGGGUGAAUGGCUAGCUACAAGGUCCUUCUCCACACAUGACACGCUUGCAUACAAAACGAUUUCCAAUUGCUUUUCCAUUAAACCAUGAACCUCAACACCCCAGAUUAACCGUGAACAGCACUAAUUAACCCUCAGAUUUUCCUUAAGUCAUUGAAUUGCAUGGAUAACACAUCGGCAACCAAAUUAUUCUUCAAUAGUUCCCUACAUGAACAGCAUAAUAGAGAUACAAUAAAAAAUCAUUAAGCUUUGUGAAAAUCAUUAAGCUUUGUGAAAAUCAUAAGCAUUGACAAGGCAUUCGUAACUAUAAACAGCAUGAUACUCCUGCCAGGAAUCUACUUGACACGAUUGUGACUAGCAACCUCGACUACUUAUGAAUAUAAGUUCAUAACAUUUAGGUGAAAUGAUAAGCUCAUAUUUAUAUAUAUUUUACAUCAAACUCACUUGUCUUUUCUUAGUUAGCUCCGUAUAUUUUUGAGCUAUUUACUUUGUUUUUGUGUUUUCUAGGAUUUGUCAAUCAAAGAAAAGAAAAAUAGCACAAGUGGGAUUUUAAGUAACAAAUUUGUCAAAACUGCCUGUGCAGGUCAACUGACUUUGGAAGCAAGUUGUGAACAGCUCAAAAUGAAUUACAGAAUGAGCUUUAUAUGCUUGGAAAGCUACGGAUGUCUAUUUUCUGGAGCAUUUCGUGGAUUGUUAAUAUCAUUUUUGUAGAAGAAAUGAUCGUUUUAACACUGAAAGGUUCAGAAGAGACUGAGCAGUUUGUAACUGCAAUGAAAGCAAUAAACCCAAUAAAUCUAGCAGCCAAAACUGAUGCAGCCAAGAACAAGCCAGUUGAUACCUAUUCAAAUAUCAGAGGAAAUGGAAAUAAAGAUGAGGAUUAAGUGGGAGAAAUUGGCAUAAAGGAUACCCAAAGAGUUACAAUUGUUUUACCAUUUCCUCUCACUUAUUGCCAUCACUAAAUGGCUGUUAGUGGGUGAGUUAAGGAGAAGAAAAUGGGGCAGCAAGUUAAAAAGGGGAAAGGCUGCAGGUUGCAGGUUGAAAAAAAAAAGAGAGGAAAAAAAACAUAAAAGAAAGAGGACAAGGCAGCUUUGCGGAAAGGAAGGAAAGGAAGAAGGAAAUCUUGGCAUUCUCUCCUCUCGGUUUUAUCUUCUCAAACUUAUGUCUUUCUUUUGGUUUUAUUUGAUAAUAAUGUGUAACUAAAUUUUUAGUAGUUAGGGGCUGUUUUGAAGCCCCGAAUAUGACUGCAAGUUUGUUAUGACAUUUUGUUUGAAUUACUUUUAUGAAUGGAUGAAAAUUGAUUCACUACUUGUCUCAUUGAUGAAUUCUUUAUGUGUUUUCUACGGAUGCAUACUUAGUAAGCAUAUCUAGGAUUCUAACGCUAUGAAUAUAUGUGUGCCUGCUCUUGUCGAAUGAGGACCUACAUAUGUUCUAAAGUAGUACUUGUUAAUUGCGAUUAACAUGUGAACCAAUUUCUAGGAUAAGUAAGACAACACCAGUACUUACGAUGCCUAGUGAUGACUCAAACUCUUUUCGUUCUUAAUGAUUUCUACUUGUUAAAUCUAUGAACAUGCCAUUCUAGAUUGCAUGCUAGGGACUAAGUUAAGUUGAAAACGCCAUUCUCUUAACGUACUACAUAAGAAAGAGUAAUAGGUUGAUUUAUAACAUUGAGCCAACUUGAGCAUCUUCAUCCUGAAAUAAAAGGAAUUUGAAUGAAACAUAACAUGUUUGCAUGAUUAUUUGGUGGUGGAUAGCAAUUCCCCUAACUCGUUUUUCUUAAUUUGUGAACUACUUAAACUUUGUUUCUGUCCUGUUUUCGUUUGAUUUAAUUUAAAUAGCAAAUCAACUCCACAAAUCCUAAAAAUUUGUGUGAGUGUAGCUCUGUGUGUCUAGUGUGUUUAUAUAAAAUUUCAUAGACUUUAGAUAAGUGUAAGUCAGUCUAAUAAUUAUUUUUCGGUGGCUGGUUAGUAGGGACAGCAACCAGUUUUUGUGACAUUUUAAGUAGUUAGAUAAAACAAUCUUCUGCGGGAAAGACCCUUAUUUUCAUAUGCUACAAUUGACAAAUCUUAGUGUUAUUAAGGAAAAUCAAUAGGACAUUUGUGUGCUACUUUGUGGUGUGCUUUUAAUUCUAUCAUGAAACUCCCUUAUAUGCUAGCUUCAAAUUCAUGCAUGCAAACUAAAUAUGCAUCCUUAAUCCACAAACAAGAACAAGUUCUGAAUCAAACAAUUAAGUAAAUUGCAUUCACGAUUUAUAGAAUCACAACUGGAAGUAAUCAAUUCAUAUUGCAAAUAUAUUCAUGGCUUUGAAUUUCCCCCUAGCGAAAACGAGUUUAGCUCCUCAUGUUCGCAAAACAAAGAUAAUUAAACUUAAACAUUGAAAACAAAAGAUGGAUUACAUCUAAGAAUGUUCCAGCAAUCCAACUUGAAUGGCAAGCACAUCCAAGGGUCCUCCUUCUUCUUUGUUGCAGCACAAGGUGUGGGUGAAGGUUUGAGUGAUGAAUUGUAUGAAGGAAUGGUUGAAAGUAUGAAUGGUAGUGAAUGGAUGAUUGAAUGGUGCGGCUAAGGCAUUUAUUUAUAGGGGAAGGAAAGGACACGGCUGGGAAUUAAUUUGGGAAGAGUUUAAGACUCCAAAUCCUCCAAGAAAAGGGUAACAAAUCAGAAUCCCAAGAGGAAAAGGGUAAGUGAGGUGCGGCAAGGAAAAAAGGAAAGGGGAAUCCCUUGCCGUGCAAGGGAAAGGGUUUCUAGAGGGCAUUGGUGCGGCAUCCCUUUGCGGCUGGGAUUAGGUCUUCUAGAACCUAACAUUAAGUGUCCAAAUAUAUUUGGGAACCCUCCUUUCAGCUGUAAGUUAGUUGGAUUAGGAUUAGGAAAGUGCUGGAACAAAAUAAGGUAACUUAACUAAUGUUUCCUCUUUUCUUGUUGAUCUCCUUAUCUUCUUUAAAUUAAUUCUUCUUUCUCUUUAACACAUUCCUAGCCUUUUCAGUCUUCAAUUUCAUUCAUCCACCUUGCUCCAAACAUGUGAUAUCCAUUCCAAGCCCAAAAAUGCUCUAAAAGGCACCAAAAUGCACUUUCUUACUACUUUAGUCAUUUGGAUCUACAAACACACGAAAAUAACUUAAAAUACUAAAAUAACUAGGAACUAAUAACAUAAAUGCAAGAAAAAGCUAACUAAGUCAUAUAAAUAUGCUCCUAUAUAUAUAUAUAUAUAGAUUAAAAAAGAGUGUAGGAAAUGGAGGGGUUCGAGAGUAGGGGUACUGGGAAGUAUUCAUGAGGCUACCUCUUUUAUGCUUCAAGAUCUCAAUUAAUUGUUGUUUUUUCAUGGUUAAGAGCAAUGGGGAAUUUUUUUGUCAUUAAGGGUAUAUUAGUACUUUUACAUUAAGUUUUGGUUAGAAUUAUCAUAAAACUAAAAUAAUGGCUAUAAUUCUUUAUGGGAUCUAAAAUAUGUUUUUCCAAAUUUCCCCACACACACACACACACACACACACACACACACAUUUAUAUAUAUUAUUUCAUCGUCAGGCUCACUAAUUUUUGGGGUUAGUAUUUUUAAUCUUGCUUAUGGGGUUAUGCUGCGUUUGGCUACUGUGGAAUUGUACCUACUCAAUUGAAGUAAAGUUUGAUAUUUAUUUACUUGAUGACUUCUAGGAAUAGUGAAGAUCUAAAAGAUAAAUGGAGAAUUAAAUCUAAUAUUCAUUUCGAUUAACUAGUUAAUUAAAUAGAUUAAUGUCUAGUGAGUUUGUAAUUUGUUUCUACAAUUAGGUCAAGCAAAUGCAGUUCUGUUUCAGAAACAGCAGCUGUUACAGUAAAUAAAUCUAAUAUUCAUUUCGAUUAACUAGUUAAUUAAAUAGAUUAAUGUCUAGUGAGUUUGUAAUUUGUUUCUACAAUUAGGUCAAGCAAAUGCAGUUCUGUUUCAGAAACAGCAGCUGUUACAGUAAAUAAAUCUAAUAUUCAUUUCGAUUAACUAAUUAAUUAAAUAGAUUAAUGUCUAGUGAGUUUGUAAUUUGUUUCUACAAUUAGGUCAAGCAAAUGCAGUUCUGUUUCAGAAACAGCAUCUGUUACAGUAAAUAGCUCAAUUGUUUCUGGUGGAUUGGUGCUCCUUUUCAUUUCUUUUUUUGGUUUAGGGCAAUGUCGUAGAUAGACACCUACAUUGUAGUGGACCUAGAUAUACAACAGGAAGAUGAGUUAAUUUUGUUUCUCUAAAAAUUCAGCGUCGUUAUUACUCAAAUAUAAACUGUUAGUUGCAGAUUUUUGUAGCAUUAUUGCAACUUCAUAUCCUUAGUUUAUGUAAUUUGUCUACUUGGGUUGACAUAGAAAGACCAAAAAAUUAAACACAAUUACCUAUCAGAUACGCCGUGGAACAGUAUCCCUACUUUCAUAUUCAGCUUCUCUUACCUUAGAAUAUUUGAAACCUUGCAGAGUGUCACCUCAACCUUUUUUCUUCCCUCAACUCCAUAUGGAAAAACUUGAAUGAACAAAAACUCCCUAGCUAGGAAUCGGUACAAGAAUUAUUGAAACAUAAUUAAUUGGACAAUACAUAAGAAAAUUUUAGUUGUCAGUUAUAAAAGAAGGGUUACAAAAUAAUAGCAGCAAGUUCUCAUCUAAAAAAUGUAGCUCGGAUUGAGUAAAACAUUAACAUGUGAGAAAGCAACUUCUGGUUAGAAAGCUUUCCAUGUAGGACUAUCCAAGCCAUCUUCAAGCCCCAACUGGUAUGGAUCUCCAAAGGGCAAUGCAAGAAUCAUAUGUCUGUAAAAAUAUUUUUCAAAACACUUCUAAUUAGGCUACAAUCUUUGUUAAAAUUUGUUUUAGCACUCGUCCUUCUUGAUUUUAUUGUUUUUGUGCUUAAACUAGCAAUGGUAUAUACUAUAUAUAACAGAAUUUAAAUGAAUAUGAAUAAAUACUCGGAUUGUAAAAUAGUGUAUAAUAGUAGUGCUCUUUAUUAAUUAACUCACCGGGGUUAGUUGCUAGGAAUCGUAUGGCAACCCAUUCACCAGACAGCACACCCACGGUAUUUCUUUCAACGGCGUUGAUCAAAUUAAAGUUUGCAGAGUCCUUAUUCCGGUCAAAGUUCCCGAACCGUUACCCAACAACAAAGAAAUUAAAUCCAUGCAGAUGAAAGGGGUCGCUUUCGGCGCCCAGAAUGCUUGUGUCUUGCAUGACCAACUCCGCCCUAUUGUUCUAUGGAAGUACCAUUAGUUUUGUACUACCAUAGUAUCAUUAGUUAGGAUGCCUGUAUAGUCAAAUGGAAUUAUAGGACUGCUUGGAAAGUCAGGGCUCUCGUUAAGUGGAAUUACAGGACUGCUUGGAAAGUCAGGGCUCUAAACCCCAUUCGAUUGCCUGGAGAAGUUCGCUUGAAGUAGAGCAGUCGUUGUGUUGAAGGAAUGAAGUGUGUCCCGAUGGGUUUAGGGUGUAUCUCUAGGGUAAGCUUUUUUUUUUGGUCAACGAUCUCUAGGGUAAGCUUAAGGCUAUAUUGUUGUGAAUCAGUUUUUCCUUAAUUUAAGGGAAGUGACUGAUUAGUGUAAAGUAGAUAAAGCUUUUCCUUGAUCUAAGGAAGGUGACUGAUUGGGUUAAGUAGGUUAGCUCUAGUUGGCUGUGAUAGACAGCCUUCUUUUAUUCCUCCUAGUCAGCUGCUUGCAGUAGCUAACUAUCCGGACCUCUUCUUCUUCUCCUCUCUCAUAUAUAACUUGUCACUUGUACAUUUGAAUAUAUGAAAAUACAUUGAAACUUAAAGCUAGAAAAUCUACACGUUGGCAUUGCAAAAGAAACGUUAUUAACUGAAGCUGCAAACAUUGUUCCAUUAGAUCCCCGAAAGGUUUGGUUAUUGUUGCUGCAGGGGUUCGUUCCAAGGCCUAUUGUGAAGAAAAAGUGUUUGUUAACCUUAUGGGGGACAUUAGCAGGAAAUUGUGCAUUGGCUAAUUAUUUGUAUCAUAUUUACGGAUUGAAAACAUCUUUUAUGUGAAAUUGAAUGACACACAUAUCCCAGUAAUCAACCUUGGAUGCUAAUUUUAGAUUUUAAUGCCAUUACUAGUUUAAAUGAAAAAGUAAGGGAUCAACGAGUAGUCACAAACUACAUGUUAAUUUGUGGACUUCCAGAAUCGAGGAGCCUUUCAAGUCUUAAUGCUUCUUGAGUUCCUUUUACGUGGACUAAUAGUCAUAAAGAUAAUAUUGUUAUCUUUGAAAAGCUUGAUAGAGUUAUGGCCAACUCUUAGUGGUUGUAUACAUUCCCCAAGUAUAGGGUUCAUAAGGCCAUCUCCAACCGAGGGUUGGCCAGAGGGCUCGUUUUAGCCCUCUGGUCCUCCAAGAUAUUAAUAUUUUAAUGAACAGUACAAGGCCAUAUUUGCCUCCAUCUCCAAUCGAGAGCCAAAGGGCCAUAUGACUCAUUUUAGCCCUGUCACAAAAAAUCGUCUCCAACCAAAGGACAUAGGGCCAAACAUAAUUUAUUAUUUAAAAACUACAAGUUAAAUUCAAAUUUAACAGCUAAGUGACAUUAGCAUGAUGUCAGCUAGCAGUUGGUAGCUGACUUCAUGCUGACAUUAGCUAGCCGUUGGAUUUGAAUUUAUUUUUGCUAUAAAUAGGGUGGAUAUUGGGCUAUAAUUCACACAACUUUGAAUUCAAUCUAUUUCAAUUCAAUCUCUUUCAAUUCAAUCUUUUUCAAUUCAAGUUUGCCUUUUAAUCCAAGAACUAGUAGUAUCUCUAUAAAUGAGUACAUGAGGCACUAUAGAAUGAUACGUUCUCGUGCUACAAACAAGUACCUACAACAGGAUCUUGUUGCACAUCUUUGGGCCAAAAGAAGCAUGGAGUAGGCGUUUAAGUUUUAUGUUUUUAAAAAUAUUGUAAGUUUCAUGCUGUUAAAUGUUUUUUUUUAUGUUGUAUAAUUUGUAUGUUGGUUAAUGUUAUUUAAUGUUGUUUCAUAUUGUUUAAUGUUGUUUCAUGUUACUUAAUUUAAUUUAAUGUUGUAUAAUGGCUUAGGACAUUAUAGGAAAAAAAAAUAUAAUUUAAAAAAAAUAUGAAACAAAUUUUGUGAAAUAACAGUUAUAGGAAAAAAAAAUAGAAGUUAAAAUAAAAUGAAACAAAUUUUGUGAAAUAGAAGUUACAGGAAAAAAUGGAAUUAAAAAAAAUAUAUGAAACAAAUUUUGUAAAAUAAAAGUUAUAGAAAAAAAAUAGAAUUUAAAAAAAUAUUAAAAAUAGAAGUUAUAGGAAAAAUUUUGUAAAUAAAAAAUAAUAAUAAAACUGUAAAAAAAAAAAAUCAAAUGCACAGCUAGCUGACGUCAGCUAGCCGUUGCAUUUGAAUUUUAGCUUUAGCAUUGGCCAGCCUCGAGCUGGCUAGCUACAUGCAGCCAGCCCUCCAGCCCUUUCAGAUUCCAUGGGGCCCUCUCAGAUUCCACGAGCCCUCUGGCCUAGCCUCGGUUGGAGACGGUUUUUUGGUUAUUUUCGGCAAUUUGGCCCUCUGGUCCCUUUAGUUGGAGAUGGCCUAACUUUCCUAUUUUUGGCUCUAACCAUAGCCCCGUUAAACUAACUUUUUUGGACAAGACUGCUAACUUCUAAACAAAUUUCAAAUUUGAAGCUAUUUGGCUUAAUGAUCCUGAUUGUACUAAUUUGGUUAAAGAAAGUUGGUUGGCCAAUUUCCAGGGUCAUCUAAACGAUAUGUUCAGAGCUUGUGAUAAUUCCUUUAAAUUCAAAGCGAAAGCAUGGAGUAAAAAUAUCUUCGGUAAUGUGACAAAGAAGAUAAAAGAGCUCCUAAGUGAACUGGCAACUGUUCAGGACUGUAUGAAGAAUCCUAAUAGGAAUGAUUGGUUGGAGAAGGAAAGGAAAUUAAAUGAUUCCCUUGUUGCUUUGUACAUGGAUGACGAAAUUCUCUGGGCUCAAAGACUUAAGGCUAACUGGUUGCAGCUUGGGGAUAGAAAUACCAGGUACUUCCAUACCUAAAUCACUAUAAGGAAAAGAAGAAAUGAAAUCAUAAAAAUUAAAGAUGAUCAUGGUAACUGGUGGGAAAAAAAGGUAAACGUAUGGAGGAUCUAUUUAUUCAAAAGUUUAAACAAAGGCUCACCAGCACCAUUCAAAGUCACAGAGAUAAUAAGGUGGAUGAAUCCAUAAGUGUUCUAAAUCCUGUAUCUCAGUAGAACAACAAUUUGCUCAUAAGGCCUGUAACUGAGGCUAAAAAUUUUUAGGCUGUGAAAGCUAUUGGGAGCUUAAAAGCUCCUAGUCCUGAUGGUCUCCACGCUAUCUUCUAUCAUGAAUGUUAGGGUCAUGUUAAGGGCUAGUAAACCUAUCCUUAAAAAUGGAAUGAGAUGGAUUGUUGGAAAUGGUAAAAACAUAAUGUUUUGGUCCCAUAACUAAAUUUUUCCUUUCCCAUUGUCCACUCCUAUUCAAGAUCAAUUAAUAAACUCUUUAAAUUAAAAUAUGAAAGUUAGUGAUGUCAUGGUAGAGAAAAUAUAGAACAAUGAGUUAAUCCUUCCAGUGCUGCCUAACGAUGUAGCAAAUAAAAUUUUUGCCAUCUCUAGCCCUUUAAAUGAUAUGGAGGAUGAGUUUAUCUGGGACCAUCUUUUAAUGGAAAUUUAUCAAUUAAAUUAACUACUUGGAUUCAAAUUGAUGAUGCUCACAGUAAACUUUUCAACGAUUUAUUCAAGAAAGUGUGAAAACUUAGUAUUCCACAUAAAGUUAAAUUUUUUGCUUGGUUGCUUAUAAGAAAUAGAUUGUCUACUUACAAGAGAUUAGAUAAGUAUCAUCAUAAUGGCCAAACUCUUUGCCCUUUAUGCAAUAUUGUAGAGAAUGAUCAACUACACUGUUUUGUUUACUAUAAUCAUGCUUAAGAAGUUUGGAAGCUUUGUAAUAACAUGCGUCCACCGCCACCACCCCCCCCCCCUUCCCCUCCCAUUACCAAUAUGAAUGAUUGGUUAGUGGGGAUGUUAGCUUUAGAUAAAAUGAUCUUUCUGACCUUAGAAAAAUCUCAAUUCUUUGUUGGCAAAUGUGAAAUGAUAGAAAUAAUUUUGUUUUUAAACAGAUUAAACCUUAUCCAACUUUCUGUCUGAUGACAACGACUAUAAUUGGAAAAGAUUUCCUAAAGGCUAAUUUGAAACAGAAACCAAGCAAGACUAAGCAACACCAUUAGAUGGAAAAUGCCUACAGAAGGCUUUUAUAAGCUCAAUUUUGAUGGGUCAGUGGAGGACACUUUUGCUGCUAUGGGUUUUAAAAUAAAAAAUCAUUAGGGGUGUGCUCGCUCGACAUCUUGGACCAAUCACUAUCACCAUGGAAGAAGCUUAGGCUCUCCGGGAUGCUCUGGCUUUGGCCAAAUAACGUCAAAUCAGGAAAAUUGUGGUCGAAAAGGGACUCAAAGGUUGUCUUUGAUGCAGUUUUUGGAAAGUGUACAGUACCAUGGAGAAUUAAGUCCAUCGUUUAGGACAUUAAAUGGCUUACCUCAUCGUUUGAGCUAGUAGAAUGGAACCAUUUCUACAACGAAGCAAACUUCAUGGUGGAUGCUAUCACUUCCCUUGAGCAUAAUUGUACUAAUUUAUAUAUGUGGGAUGGGUGUGUUCCUCACCAAGCCAGAAAAAAAAAGCUCUCUUGUAUUAUUCUCGAGGCCUUGGGUGUCAUUGAAGUUUCUAUUUAAUUUAAUCUUCUUUCUUCCUAAAAUAAAUUAACACAAAUACAUGUGUGAAUGACUAUAUACAAUUGAUAUAAUAUGGUCAUGUGCAUGGUCUAAAAUAUCCAUAAUAUCCCGAUAUUUCCAUCGAAAUUUCCGUGUUUUUGGACUACAGAUAUUUUUUUGGACUACCGAUAUUUCCGAUAUCAUCGAUAUUUAGACCUUGCUAAGUCACUCAUGUAUCUUACCAUGCAAUGUAUAAAGUGUAAAAUAUUGUACUAAUUCAUUAUAUAUAAAUGAUUAUGGUGUGUUUAAACUUCUUUCAUUAAUUACUACAUAUUUUCUACACUCACAAUGUUUGCCAGCUCGCUAUCUAAUCAACUUAAAUCAGUUAUACCUAUCAUGCAAUGCAUUUCCUUCCAAUUUUUUGUGUUAAACUAAUAGAUAAUUGACUAAAUAAACAUCGUGCAAAGUUUCAAUAAAAAUUUCCAAUUUUUUCUUAUAAUUUCCGUAGUUUUUAUUCAAUUUUUAUCGAUAUCGAUAAUAUCUCGAUAUUUCCAUCGAAAUUUCCGUGUUUUUGGACUACCGAUAUUUCCGAUAUCAUCGAUAUUUAAUACCUUGGUCAUGUGUGGGAAAAAUUAGGAAUUCUCAAAGGAAUGAGCUAAAUAUAAAAUAACAAAAGGAAAGGAAAAAUAAUGCAGAUCAACGGCCACCAAUUUAAUAACGGAAGCACAACACAAAAUUUAAAGACCAUCAGAAAAGAGGUAAUCGGCUUAGUUGUACUUGAAAAUGAUUGUUAUUAUGUUGCUUUGGGCUUUUGGAUGAUGGGUUAUGGUAAAGCCUCGUUUGGGCCAAAAGUCUUAUCUUGGACUAUAAUAGCCUAUUUCACUUCAGUUGUUAAUUACUUGCGCCCAAAUCUACUUGGACCAUAACAUGUGUCUUAAUUGUUACUUAGUACUACAGUAUAGUGAUAUUCUUCUUUACUUGUAAGUGACAGGUCUUAGAUUCGAUUCUCGCUAAAUGCAAAUUUGAACCACAUUAUUGCUAACUCAUUGUGAGGCUUAGCCCACUCCCUCACCCCGUUAGUGUAGAUAAUAUCGUUUGUUCCAAAAAAAACAUAUGUCUUUAUUUUAUCUUAAAGUUUUUCUAGAGUUGAGGAAUUGGUUGCAACUUUUGUUUCUUAAAUUUUGUGUUCUAAACUCUCUUUUAUUUGUCAUACAUAUAUACAAUAAUGUCGCUUUGAAUAUAUUAAGUCAUUCCGGAACCUCUUCUAACUAACGAACACAUACCUCCUUUCACUCUCCCUAUUAUCAACUUAUCACUAGGCAAAAAGAGGCGUCACAUUUGGUUUAUGACUAAUUGUUAAAUUGAGCAAUGAGCAUUGAAAAUAGCUUAUUUUCAACAGGUAAAAAAGACUAACCGUUAUGCCUCAUGUAAAUACAAGACCAGGACCGACUGUGAGAUUUUGGAGGCAUGAGGUAGGCCAAUGAAAGGGGGCCCUUGUGUUCUUAGGCAAUCUUACGUUUUUUUUUCCUUUUAUUUUUUAUUUUUUAUCAAUUAGGCAAUCUUACGUUGUACGUUGAUGUACGUUGCUUUUUGGGUUAAAAAUCACUAAUUUAUUAUUAUAGAAUGCCUUAGAUGAUACAAGACUUAAAAAAUCACAAUAAUAAAUUAUUGAAAAACACAUUAAUUUCAUAGUUUCUAUUUGAUUACCUUAAAUCGCAAUCUUGUAGAUCUUGUGAGAUUUGAUUUCCACCAAUAGAAUAGAGAGAUUGAAAUUUGAAAGAAAAGAGAGAAUUGCAAGAGACUUUGGGUGCGUUUGUUUGGGCUCGUUAACUCUUACUGGACUCGCGUGGAUUAUUUCCACCGCUAGAAGUCUUAGCGAGACCCAGAAACCCAUGAGACUGCUAAGACAUUCGUUGCAUUUUCAUCUUCUCGCCUUCCUCUCUGCAUCGCAUCCUCCCUCUCCUCUCUUUGCUCGCGUCGCCAACAUCGUAUCGUCUGGUAGUUUUGAUUCUCCCGUCGCGUCCUCUAUGCACUUUGGUCUCGACGUCGUCCGAUUCACUCCGAGCUUGCAUGCACCCUCGCUGGUAGACAAAGCCCAAAUUUCCUGGAAUUACAAAAUCCAUUCAAAUCGCAAAACCCACACUUAAAAUGCAAAUCCCAAAAUUGAAUUGCAAAAUCAAGUUCGUCUGAAGCUCACCAUCUGCACAUCUUUUUCAAUCGUGAAACACAGAUUUAUGCGGAACAACUUUUCAAGAUAAUAAUAAUAAUAAUAAUAAUAAUAAUAAUAAUAAUAAUAAUAAUAAUAAUAAUAAUAAUAAUAAUAAUAAUAAAAAGAGAGAAACAGGGAGAGCUUUUUUGAGAGAAAGUGUUCUUGAAAAAGGGGAGAAAUGAAAAGAAACCAGAAAAGAGGGAGAGCAUUCAGAGAUGGUUCUGGAAAAAGGGAAGAAAGGAAAAUGAACCAAAAAAGAGGAAUAGGGGUGGGCGCGGUGCGAUGGGCUGCGGUGCGGUGCGGUGUGGUUUUGAAGUUAAAAUCGAAAUGAAAUCAAACUGUUUGGUUCGGUUCGGUGUAGUUUUAAAAGGUUUCGGUUUGAUUUUUGAGAAAAAAAUGUACAAUUUAAAAUAUACAUCUAUUUAUACAUAAGAUGGUCUUAUUUUCCUCAUAUAUUAAUUAAUGAAUAUGCAGCAACAACAAUGCAGCAAAAAACAGUGGCAAAACUGCAAAAAAAGUGCAGCAAAAAGCAGCAGCAAAACUGCAAAAAACAGAAAAACAGCAACAAAAAACUGCACCAAAACUGGAGCAAAAAACUCAGUAAAACUGCAACAAAAACUGCAGCAAAACUGCACCAAAUUUGCACCAAAACUGCACCAAAAAACUGCACCAGGUUGCACUGUCGCAAACUUACAGAGAUGCAAGCAGAAGUAACCAGGUCGCAUAAUUAAAGAUGAGUUUCAAGAAGACGAGUUAAGGAAAAGAUGAGUUUUAAGAAGAUGAGUUAAGGAGAUGAAGAUGUGUUUCAGCCUUCAGGAGUCGAAGUGCAAAACUAAAUGAUAAUGAUAGUCUAGUAACCUAGUUGAACUAAUUAAAAGUUUAAAAUAUAACAUUUAUUUAUUAAUUUUAUUAUAUGGUGCGGUUUCGGUUUCGGUGCGGUUUUGAAAACCCAAAACCGAAACCAAACCGUUUUCUUUGCCGCGGUUUGGUUUCGAAACCAAAACCGUUUCAAAACCACAAAACCAACCGUUCGGUGAGGUUCAAUUCGAUUCGUGUUUCGGUUUCGGUUUUCGGUUCCAAGUGCCCACCCCUAAAGAGGAAGAGCUUUCGUGAAAAGAAAAGAAUGUUCUAAAAAUAAAAAAUAAAGAAAAGAAAAAAAGAAAAGGUUAUUUUGCUUGUUAAUUCGGCACUGCACCAAAUGCUUCACUAAGUUAAUUUAGGUUAUUUAGUCUAAGCCAGUUUAACUUGGUCCCUAAACUUAGAGCUGGUUUGGUAUUGCUAUACUUUGAAAAAAAAACUGCUUCUGUUGUGCUAUGAGAAUAAGCUCAUUUUUGCUGCUUCACGUUUUCAGUUUUUUUUUUAUUAACAGAAGACACCUCAACAUGUUAGUUAGACACCUUAGCAUUUGAUUAGCUCAGUGGUUAAGUUUUAUCUAAAUAUAACAACUGUGAUUUUAAAGACUAUAUAUAUUUGGAUAAUCACUUGUAUUUUGUAAGUAUUCAUGUCAGUAAAUACAACUUGCUCUCCAAGAUCUUUUCUCUCUCUAACAUUUCAUUCUCUUUCUUGUUCUUCACACUUUGUUUCCAUUGUUGAAUCUUUGAGUUCUUGAGAUCAUGAUUUCUCUCUAGUUAUCAUGGUAUCCAGAGCUUAGGUUUCAAUAAAUCUAAGAGGAGGAUCCUGGUUGGUUCAUCUGGCGCUGCGAUAGCUGUUUGGCGGUGGAUUUGGUGGUUGUUUGGCUGGAAUUUCAAUUGUUGUUGGCAAUCGAUUUCUUUGUGUUUUCGUCACAUCAGGUUUCGAUUUCUUUACUGGUUAAUGCUACCUGUGUUCGAUAUUUGUGAAAUUUUUUGAAUUAUCUGUUUGUGUUGUUGAAUGCGAUGAUUCUGUGUUGGUAAUUUUCUAAGGCACAAAGCCUCUAAGUAAUUGUUUGGGAAUUUUUCAUUCAUCUGAUCAAUUCAAAUUCGAGCACGAAACUCCUUGUUAUCUGCAAUUUGUAUGUGAUUUGUCUCCCUGCAGUGAUUUUGUUGAAGACUGGACAUUUGAGUUUGUGAUGAGUUUUGUGGAUUGUUCUUUGUUUUCUUUUGGCAUGAAACCUGUUGAUGUUAAUUGUUGGCACGAAGCCUGUUGCUACUCAUUGGUGGCACGAAGCCUGUUGAUACUCAUUGGUGGCAUAAAGCCCGAUUUAUUCAUCAAUUUCUUGAGCACGAAGCUCUCUACAAAAGUUUUUUUUUUUUUUUUUGUGUUUAGCUAUUCGAUCGAAAAUUCUUUUGAAGCAUGGCGAUGAAUUCUAUCAAGAUGGACAGUUUAUUGGGCAUGUUAACUAUGCGAUUACAAGAUGAUAAUUUUGUGAAAUGGUCCUUUCAAUUUUGAUCUAUUCUUGAAGGUUAUGACCUAUUUGAGCAUUUUGAUGGUUCCUUUGUGUGUCCGUCGAAGUUUGUGGUUACUAAGGAGACUGGGAUUACUACUGAGAUUACAAAAGCCGAUAAGGAGUGGAUUAAACAAGAUAGAGCUCUUGUGAGUCUAUUACUUGCUACACUUGGUGAUGAAGCUGUUGAGUAUGUUGUUGGUUGCAAAACUGCUCAUGAAGACUGGACGAAUCUUCAAGACCGGUAUGCUACUGUGUCUAGGGCUCAAAUUAAUCAUUUGAAGACUGAGCUUCACACUAUCAAGAAAUGGGCUAAUAGUGUAGAGAAGUAUAUGCUCAGACUUAAGGCUUUUAAAGAUCAAUUAAUUGCAGCUAGUGAAGUAACAUUUGAGAAUGAUCUAAUUAUAGUUACUUUGGCUGGCUUACCUGCUGAGUUCAACAUGAUUCGAACUAUGAUUGUAGCUUGUGAGACUCCAAUUUCCUUUAAGGAAUUUAGGGCAUAAUUGUUAGCUGCUAAAAGAACUGCUAAAGAUCUCAUUCUACUUUGACUUUUCCAAUGUCCGACAUGUAUUGCCAUGGUGAAUCUUCUAAUGCUGCUCAAAACUCUUAGAGGUCUUCAUAAUAUUUUGAUGAAGGUUAUGGUUAUGUUGGUCAAAGUCGUGCUGAAUCUUCGAGUAAUGGUUCCAGACCAAAUGGUGGGCUAAUUUCUCAAGCUCAAUUGCCUCCAUUUCAUCAAUAGGGAAAUGGUCAUUUUCAAAAUCAAAGGAAUUAUCAAAAUUAUGGCAGCAAUAAUGGAAGAUUUAAUAAUCGACCCAGAUCUAAUAGAGGUAACAAUGGCAGAUUUUCUAGGAAUUCCACCAUGCCUUCUAAUAAUUUUGGUAACAGUGGAGGAAUUGGAAUGGCAACAUUGGUUCUAAGUCUACUCUGAUUCCUAAAUGUCAAAUUUGUAAUAAGCGUGGGCAUACUGCACCAAAUUGCUUCUCUUGGUAUUUUGCAAGUUCUAGCACUGUUCCUUCAAUUCUAGAGUGUCAAAUAUGUGGGAAACGAGGGCAUACUGCUCUUAACUGCUACCACAGGAGCAAUUAUGCUUAUCAGGAUGCUCAACCACCAUAUUGUCUCACUGCUAUUACUGCACAAACAAAACCAAGUUUUGCUUCUUCAUAACCAAAUUGGGUGCUAGACACAGGUCACAUGAUAGUAGAUUUGGAUAACUUGACUCUGGUGGCCCCUUUUGAAGGAAAUGAACGAAUUACAGUGGGUAAUGGUUAAGGACUUCCGGUUGCUUGGGUUCCAUUUUCACUCCUUCGAAACUAUUAACUUUGCAAAUGGUUUUACAUGUUCCUAAAUUCGUUGCUAGUCUAUUAUUUGUUGAUAGACUGUGUAAAGAUAACCAUUGUUAUGUUAUUCUUGAUGAGUUUGGUUUUUGGGUGCAGGACAAGGCAACAAAGAAAAUCAUCGAAAGAGGAAGGAGUAGUAGUAGUGGCUUGUAUUACAUCCCUCAGCAACAUUUUUUCCAGUAUUCUCAGCUUUUGGACACUCCACCACAUGCUUUUUUAGGGAAGCUUGUGAAGUCUUCUAUUUGGCAUCAUCGACUUGUUCUAUAACCACGAGUUCAGCUAUUUCAUCUGUACUUGAUUCCACUUUGCAAAAGUUAUCUCAUACCAUAGUGUCUGUUGUUUUACCAAGGCAUUUGAAUGAGUUUGAGGAACAAUUAUCAAAUAUGGGAGUGCCAUCUUUGUCUUCUCAAAGUUCCAGUGUAUCUGCCAGUUUAGAUAGCAUCUCAGCACAAGUUACUACUCCUACUACUACUCUACUAGCAACUUCUUCUUCCUCUCAAGUGUUGCUUAUCCAUACUCAGACCCCAACUCAAGUAUCUUUUUCUUUUCCUGAGCCAUGAUAGGAGCAUAUUUAUGCAACUUAGUUAGCUUGUCUCUUGGUAUUUACUUAGUUUAAUUCUAGUUAUUUUAGUACUUUAAGCUAUUUUCGUGUGUUUGUAGGUUCAAAUAACAAAGUUACCAACAAAGUGCUAUUUGGAGCCUUUUGGAGCCUUUUUGGGCCAAGAUUGGAUAGUGCAAGCAUGGAGACAUAAGGAUGGAUGUUUUUGAAGAUUUGAAGGCUAAAAAUCAGCAUGUGUGUGUGCAAGUGUGUUGACCUACAACUCCAAACAUCCAUCAAUUACACCCAUUACAUCCACUCAUUACCAAACACUCAUCCACUACACCCAUUACAUCCACUCAUUACCAAACAUCCAUCCACUACACCCAUUACAUCCACUCAUUACCAAACACUCGUCCACUACACCCAUUACAUCUACUCAUUACCAAACAUCCAUCCACUACACCCAUUACAUCCACUCAUUACCAAACACUCACCCACUACACUUAUUACCAAACACUACACAUUACCCACUACACCCAUUACAUCCACUCAUUACCAAACACUACUCAUUACCAAACACUCGUCCACUACACCCAUUACAUCCACUCAUUACCAAACAUCCACCCACUACAACCAUUUCAUUACCAAACAUCCACCCACUACAACGAUUACAUCCACUCAUUACCAAACAUCCACCCACUACAACCAUUACAUCCACUCAUUACCAAACAUUCAUCCACCACACCCAUUACAUCCACUCAUUACCACAACACUUAUCACUACCACCUUAAUUAGACGGUGGUCCUCCCUAGCCUAUAAAUACAUCCACCCUUCACCAUAACAAUGGGGAAGAAAACGAGAGAGAACACAAUCCACCCAUCCACCCUUCACCAUAACUCACCUAUAUCCAUCCACCACCAUAAUUUACCACUCAUCCAUCAAACCACACCUUGUGCCACAAAAAAGAGAAAAAGGAGGACCCUUGGACGUGUUUGCCAUUCAAGUUGGAUUGUUGAAGCGUUUUUAGGUGUUUUCUUUCUUUUGUUUUCAAUGUGUAAAUUUGUUUAUCUUUGCUUUGUAAGUAUGAGGAACUAAACCCCCCCCUUAGCUAGGGGGAAUUCGAAACCAUGUUCAUGCUUGCAAUAUGAUUUGAUUACCUUCAGUUAUGAUUUCAUAAGUUGUGAAUUCAAUUUGUUUAACUGCUUGAUUGAUAACUUAUUCGUGUAUGUUUAUUAAGAGUGCACACUUAGUUUGCAUGCAUGAAUAUGAUGCUAGAGUAUAAGGGAGUUUCACCUAAUAGUUACAAACUUAUAUUCACAAGUAGUGGAGGUCGCUUAUAAACGAUCGCGUUAAAUAAAUUUUUGGCAGGAGUUUCAUGCUCAUCAUAGUAACGAAUGCCUCGUCAAUACUUAUAGUUUUCAUAAUGCUUAAUGAUCUUUGAUUGUAUCUUUAUUGUGCUUUUCACGUAAAAAACUUUUGAAGAAUGCUUGAAUUGUUGUAUGCGCUUUCCUAUCAAAUUCAAUAACUUAAGGAGAACUUGAAGGUUAAUUUAAGCGGACUUAAUUAACCUGGGGUGUUGAGUUUCAUGAUUGAUCGAAAGAACAACUGAAAAUUGGUUUAUGUGCAAAUAUGUCAUGUGUGGAGAAGAACCUCUUAGCUAGCCUUCCAUCCAUUCAAUUUACUCAAAUUCGUGCAGAUUUCAUUAGUUCUUUAAUUUACUUGUUUUGUUUUCAAAUUCGUCAAAACCAAAACCCCCUUUACUUUAAAGUGUUUUGUUAGUCAAAAUCUGUUUUGAUUUGUGUUUUAGGUGUCCCAAAAGUGUGUUAGAGUCCAAGUCUGCCCAGUUUGUGUUUUUAGGCAGAUUGAGCGUUUUUAGCUUGUUUUGAGUCCUUUGAGUUUGUUUUAAAUUCUUUGAGUCUAGUUUAGUGUUUUUAACUUUGUUUAUAUGUUUUUAAGUCAGUUUAGAGGUUUUAGUAAGCCUUCCUAAUCCCCGGUUUAGAACGAUCCCUACUUGCAUUUAUACUACAAUUUGACAACAAAAGGGUUUAAUUUGUGUGUUAAGUUAAAAUUCGCAUCAAGCCAUCUCAUACAUCUACAGAGUUUGAUACUCAAAUUACUCAUUCAAAUCAUGAACAUGAUGUGUCUAACACUGUUGUGCCUAGUAAUGUAGUAGUUGUUUCUUCUGAUCAUAAUAUGGUUACAAGGUUGAAAAGUAGUGCAAUCCAAAGAAGGAACUAUGCAGCUUAUCAUGCAUCUUUAUCUGAUAAUGAGUUUACCCUUCUUUCACAUACUGAUGAUGUAGUCUUUUGUGGUUUUACUUCUGUGUUGGAUACUCAUGAUUCUUCUGAGCCUUCUCAUUAUAAAAAGGCAGUUCUAUCUCAGCACUGGCGCAAUGCUAUGACAGAAGAAUUUAAUGCUCUUCACAAACAAGUUACUUGGGAGUUGGUACCUUAUCCAAAAAAUAAAAAUGUCAUAGGUAGCAAAUGGGUGUAUAAAAUCAAGAAAGAUCAAGAUGGCAAGAUAUUGAGGUACAAGGCUCGACUUGUUGCACAAGGAUAUAGUCAAUAACAAGGCUUGGAUUAUGAAGAAACGUUUAGCCCGGUUGUUCGACAUACUACAGUUAGGCUUGUUUUAUCUCUUGCUACUAUGCAUAAGUGGGACUUAAGGCAAUUAGACGUGAAAUAUGCAUUUUUACAUGGUGAAUUACAAGAAGAGGUGUUUAUGAAACUAACUCAAGGGUUUCAAGAUCCUUUAUAUCCUAACCAUGUUUGCAAACUUCUCAAAUCUUUGUAUGGUUUAAAACAGGCACCACGAGCCUGGAAUGCAAAGUUUACCAGUUAUCUUCCUACUUUGAAGUUUCAGUCUUCUCACUCUGAUCUGAGCUUGUUUGUGAAAUUCUGUGAUGGUGAUGUAGUAAUUCUUCUUUUAUAUGUCGACGACAUUAUUAUUACAGCAAGCAAUUGAUGAUUUGGCCUCUGUAUUUGACAUGAAGGACAUGGGCAAACUCACUUAUUUUCUGGGACUUCAAGUUACCUACAGAGAAAAUGGGGAUAUUUUUCUUAGGCAGUCAAAGUAUGUCAUUGAUCUUCUUAAUAAGGCAGGUAUGGUGCAUUGUAGGCCUUGCUCCACUCCUAGUAAACCUCAUACACAGUUAUUGAAGGAUGAAGGAGAAUCAUUGUCUGAUCCCACAGUUUAUAGAAGUUUGGUUUGUGCAUUGCAAUAUUUGACCUUUACUAGGCUAGAUAUUGCAUAUGCAGUCAAUUAUGCUUGUCAAUUCAUGAAUAACCCAAUAGAAGAUCAUUUCUGUUUGGUGAAGCUGUGCAUACUUAGGUAUUUGAAGGGUACUUUGACCUGUGGCAUUACUUAUUCAGCUACUGGAAAAUUGGAGUUGCUUGCCUAUAGUAAUGCUGACGCAGCUGAUAUCAAUACUAGACGAUCAACAACUAGAUAUGUUGUUUUCCUAGGAUCUAAUCUCAUUUCUUGGCAGUCAAAGAAGCAAGGCAAUGUGUCUAGGAGUUCAACAGAGGCUGAAUAUAAAGCAUUGGUUAAUGCAACAGCUGACAUUGCUUGGAUUCGACUGGUUCUUAAUGAUCUUCAUAUGUUUCUUCCUUGUGCUCCUGUGUUGCAUUGUGAUAUUCUGUCUACAUUAACUUUGUGUUCUAAUCCAGUCUUUCACACUCGGAUUAAACACUUAGACACUGAUUUUCAUUUUCUUCGUGAAAGAGUACAAAAAGGGGAUAUGGAGGUUCAGUACAUUCUUAUAGAUGCUCAGAUUGCAGAUGUCUUAACAAAAGGAUUACACAAUCCUUUGUUUGUUCGUCAUUGUUCCAAUCUCAGACUGGGUUAUCCCAGCUGAGAUUGAGGGGGAGUAUUAACAAAAGACACUUCAACAUUUGAUUAACUUAGUGGUUAAGUUUUAUCUAAAUACUAUGAUUUUAAAGUCUUUAAAUAUAGUCUUUAAAAUCACAGCUGUUAUCCAAAUAUAUAUAGUCUUUAAAAUCAUAGUUGUUAUAUUUAGAAUCAUGUUUAGCCUCCCUCUCGGUUGGAGAUGUUUUUUGUCACAUGGCUAUGUUUGGCCUAUGGUCAUUUGGCCCCUUCGGUUGGAGAUUGUAUGAAAUAUGGUAUGGCACUGUUCAUUAAAAUAUAAUUUCUUAGAGGGCUAUAGUGUUAAAAAGAGUCAUCUGGCCUUCUUUCGGUUGAAGAUGGCCUCAGUCUUUCUACUUGGGCAUUUUCUAUUAUAUGGAAUUAAUUUGAAAAAAAAAAAAACAUAAAUGCAUCCUUCGUGUUUCAAAUUGAAAACAAUUCACAAAAACCAGUUUUUUUCCCCACUAAGCAAGCAGUUUUUUUUUUUUUUUUUUGUUAUUUAUCUUACUUUUAUAGUGUGUGUGUAUAUAUAUAUAUAUAUAUCCAAAUAGAUACAUAAAAGAAAUUUGGGGCUAGUAAAUCAGAGGUCCUAGGCAGUCGCCUUACUCAGCUUCCCUCAAGGCUAGCCCUAUGUCACUAUAAGAGCAUUUCCAACUGUUGCUUAUAAGCAAGGGCAAAGGCAAUGCAAUUGCCCAAAACACCUCCAACAGGACAAUAAAAGAAAUAAAGGCAAGUGGUGGACCAAGCCAUGCUAGCCCAAAUGCCCAUGUAAGUUAAGCAUUGCCUUCCUCAACAGGCAUGGCUGACUCAGCCACGGUCUUUACGUUUUUUCCAAUUUGUAACACAUGUCCAAAAUCAGGGUGUGAGCCAACAAAACCUGCAAUAGUAGGCCUUGUUGCAACACUAAUUGAAGAGCCUAACGGCUCUAUGACGUGGCACGAUGAGAGCCGUUGGAUUUCCAACAACCUGAUGAUCUGGACUAUUGGAUUUUCAAUGGUAAAGAAUUUAAAAAGUUAUCGAUGCACCAUGUUGCACGUUCUAGUGCGUCAGAUUCAACAAUAAAAAAAAUCAAACGGUCAGGAGUAAUUUGAUUGUUAAAAAUGGAAGGAAAAAAAGAAGAAGAUGGCGAUGCAACAAAUACGGAAGAAGAUUCAUACACAAUUUGUCGAGCUGAUUCAACGCAUAUCCAGGUCUGAGCUAUCUCUAUUGAGUAUAUGCAAACAUCUAAGUAAGUCAACAUAGAGAGUUAAAAUCUGGGCAAGAAGCCCUCACAAAAGCAUAAUCUAUUUAUCAAAAUGGCAAUAAUAUAGCCAAUAAGGUAAUAACAUUUUAUUAUUAAUAAAUUUCAAAUGUGAUUAACAUGUUAUUAUUUGGACCAUCAGGUAAUUAAAAGUAAUCAUUGAUUAUGUAAUUUAUAAUGUUGUUUCAUAAUUCUUUGCUUUGCAUUUGAAAUUAAAUUAUUAGAGUUAAACAUGGAGUUUUACUUUCAAAGAACAAACUUACAAAGUGCACACUUAAACACUUACAAGGCAUAUAUAAAUAAAUAAUAUAUAUUUGUGAAUAAUAAUCGCCCUUAUCUGCGACAACUCGUCCUUAAUUUUAAGUUUUAUAAAUUUUAAAAUAGUGAUUUUAUGAAAAUGCCCUUAGAGGCAAGGAUGUUUGACUUUCGUUGACCAUUCGAAGUCACAAUUAAUGUUUCCGAAUAGAUUUUGAAGCUACGAACGCAUAGGCAAAAGCCGUUUGCGAGUUCGGAUUAUAACAGUAUAGUUACGGACAUUUGAAGUCGUUUCAUUAAACAAUAGAUUUAAAGGAAUAUAAACUCCCACCUUGUGGGAAAGAGGCCAUUCAGGCUAAAGGGAAGGAACCAAUCAGUUAAAUGGUGGAGGACCAAUCAGAAUUUAGGGGGGAGUGAGCAACCAAUCAAAGAGAAGGAGGAAAAAAAAGAAAAGAAAUGAAGCUUUCCUUCUCGACGACUUGUGCACCUGCACAGGGCUCAACCAAUUCCGCCAACUUUCGCCAUUUUCCCCAUCAAACCGCCAUCAUCCAACACCUGCAAUCCUUUCCACAACCUCCCCUCUACCAUCUCCACCCAAAUUCGAAGGUUUUUAAGUCCAAAACCGUGUAGAACCUCACCGGAGCACCGGAGGUGCUUGACGGUGAUUCCUCCGAUCCAGUGAGUUUCACCACCCACCACUACCCUUAAUCAACUCCCCUUAGACCCAGGAAUAAGAUCCAACCAGUGAUAGGGGCGUUGGAACACCGGCAAAGUCGAAUCGAUGAACACCUAUUAUAGGGUUUCAGACGGGUUCGUGGCGAUUUGAGGUUUUUUCGGCCAAAUUGGACUUGGCCACAUAUAUAAAACUUGCUCUACUCAUUGAGAUCUUCAUUUAAUUGAAAUUUGAGAAUUUUUAGAAAUAGUUUAUUUUUCCGGCGAGUUGGGACGGUCGACUGUCGUUUGCAGCGGCAUGUGGGCCGAGGCACCCCCUAACCUUCCUAAGCUAAGUUUGAUACCCCAAUUCCAUAUGUGAAGUCAGAUUGAUGAAAUCUCAUCGUUUGAACAUAGUUUUGAUAGAGACCGCUACUUGAUCCUUGUAUGAAUUGACGAACCGACCGUUGGAUCAUCACCAAAAUUUAAUAUAUUAUAGUAUGUAAUAUUUUAGGAUAUUAGAAACUUACGGAUUGGGAAUCCAACUUAUGGAUCUUCCUAAAAUGGAUUUGUAAGUUCGUAAAAUAAAACGUUGACCGCCACUUGAAUUUGCAAUUGGUGGAGAUCCAACCAUUGGAUCGUAAUGAAACUUUAGUAUGAUGUUCUAGAAGCAUAAUGUGGAUCUUUUGAAGUUACGGAUCAAAAAUCUAAGUUGCGGAUCUUCCGGAUUGAGUUACGUAGGAUUAUGGACCCUACCGCCAACCUUUGACCGAUGAUUGAAUUUUGGUCAAUGGGUUUCAAAUCAUUCUAGAACGUCCUUAGGGGAUGUGUUUUAUGUAAGUUACGUGUUCUAUCGAUAAGAAUUCUAAGACGUUAUUUGAUAUUUAUUCUAGGCGACGAUUGUUCGUGAUGCCUCGAUAUUCGUGCUAGGGAGUUGUAGCCCGGACCUCAGGUGAGUGGGUCUUUUUCUUUUUAUAGUGUAUAGAUAGAUAUAUAUAUAUAUACACACACACACACACACACAUAUAUAUAUAUAUGGUUGAUAGUUUCCACAAAUGAUUUUGAAUUGAUUUAUGCAUAUCAUGCUAUGAUUAAAUAUUGUUAUUAAAAACUUUGCAUUGUUAUGAAAUUGUGAAAUGCCAAACGAUCCUACGGGAUGCGCAGGUUUGAUCAGGUGAGUUUAAUUUGUGAUUGGAAUUGUUGCACCAUAUUGGCAUGCAUAAAUUCAUUUAGUGCUCAUCAUUGUUGCACCCCAGUGUUAGUCAUCCUGUCCUGGGCCAGGGCACAGCCUUCACGUGUAUGUUCACCUCCCGCAUCGCACACUUACCUUGGAUCCAAGUAGGUGCUAGCCUAUCGUAUAGACUCGAUUAGGCAGUUUGAUGCGAAAAUUAACUUAACACACAAAUUAAACCCUCUUGUUGUCAAAUUGUAGUAAUAAUGCAAGUAUGGAUCGUUCUAAACCGAGGAUUAUGAGGGCUUGCUAAAACCUCUAAACUAACUCAAAAACAUAAAAACAAAGUUAAAAACAUUUGAAUAGACUUAAAGAACUCAAAACAGGUUCACAAGACUCAAAAUAAUUUAAAGACACUCGAAACUGCCUAAAAACACAAACUAGGCAGUUUCUGACUCUAACACAACUUUGGACGAAAUUUGGGUUUUGACUUGACUCAGAACACUCUAAAACACAAACAAAACAUAUUUUAAACACUUUGAAACAAGAAAGUAAAAGGGGGAUUUAGUUUUGAUGAAUUUGAAACAAAUAAACAAGUUAUAAAACUAGGCAGAUUGUAAAACGAAUUUAAGAAAUAAGAUAAUGGAUGGAUUAGUUAGAGGUCCGUUCUUCACACAUGACACACUUGUAUAUGAAUUGAUUUCCAAUUGCUUUUCAAUAAACUAUGAUGCUCAACACCCCAGAUUAAUUAGAUACGCUUAAAUUAAUCCUCAGAUUUUCCUAAUUUCAUUGAAUUGGAUGAUUGCAUACAACAACCCAAAGCAUUCCCCACAAGUUCCCUACAUGAAUUGCAUAAUAGAGAUACAAGCAAGAAUCAUUAAGUUCUAUGAAAAUCAUAAGCAUUGACGAAACACUUGUAACUAUGAAUUGCAUGAAACUUAUGCCAAGAAUUCAAUUAACGCGAUUGUGAUAAACAACCUUCACUACUCAUGAAUAUAAACUUGUAACGAUUAGGUGAAACUCAUUUAUAUUCUAGCAUCUAAUUCAUGCAUGAAAACUAAGUAUGCAUGAAAACUAAGUAUGCAUCCUUAAAUAACAUACAAGAAUCAGUUAUGAAUAAAAUAGAUAAUUGAAUUGCAAUCACAACUUAUCAAAUCACAAUUGGAAGAAAUCAAUUUAAAUCUCAAGCAUGUUCAUGGCUUCAAACUUCCCCCUAACUAAAUAGUGGUUUAGCCACUCAUAAUUGCAACAAAAUUAGAAAAUAACAAAGUAGACAUUGAAAGCAAGAACGAAGUACACCUAAAACGCUCCAAAGUUCCAAGCUUGAAACGCCAAGGGCCUUUGUUUUCACCACCUUGUUGUAGCAUAAGUGUCUAGGAUGUGUAUGGAUAUAUGGAUAGAAUGGAUUUGCAUGACAUAGAAAAUGGAAAUGUAUGGAGAUGUGUUUGAAUGUAUGGAUGAAAUGGAAUGGAGCUCAAGGCAAGGGACUUGUGUUUGUGAAUGAAGCUCUUUUGAUGGAUCAAGAUUGUCGUUCUUUGGAAGGGGGGUGGUGGAUGUAUUUAUAGGCUAGGGAGAGGACCACUCCAUUUCCUUUGCAUGUGCAGAUUGCAUGGGUGUGUGCUGUCCAUGUUUCUCCUUUCCUUUUCCACCCAUUUUCUGAACCUUUCAGUGUUACAAUGCCCAUAACCUCUUCUAGAAAAAUGAUAUUAACAAUCCGUAAAUUGUUCUAGAAAAUAGACAUCCGUAGCUUUCCAGGCAUAUAAGGCUCAUUCUCUCAUUCAUUAUACGAUGUUCGUAACAUGCUUUCAAAGUCAGCUAAUCUGCACAGGCAGUUUUGACGAAUUUGUUGGCUGUCCAUGUUUCUCCUUUCCUUUGCAUGUGGUUGUGUCUUCUCUUUCUAGCUGUGCAUUUCCACUUGAUCCAAAGCCAAAUGAGUGCAAUCAUAACCCCAUUUGCUGCUGAGUGUUGAUGACAAAGCAAAACACAAAACAAGUGCCUUUACUUUCUCAUUUUAUUAGCCAAAUCCGCUUAGCCCUUUUCUAAACCUUUAAGUGUUACAAUGCCCAUAACUUCUUCUAGAAAAAUGAUAUUAACAAUCCGUAAAUUUCUCCAGAAAAUAGACAUCCGUAGCUUUCCAGCCAUAUAAGGAUCAUUUUCUCAUUCAUUAUGAGAUGUUCGUAACAUGCUUCCAAAGUCAGCUAAUCUGCACAGGCAGUUUUGACGAAUUUGUUGGUUGUCCAUGUUUCUUCUUUCCUUUUGCACACACAUGCUUCAUCAUUUCAGCCAAAUCAACACAUGUUCUCCAUCACAUGGCAGCUAUGAUGUUUGUUAGUUGUAGGUCACACACUUGCACACACAUAUGUUGAAUUCUAAUCUUCCCAAAACGUCCAUCCUCAUGUCUCCAAGUGCAUGCAAUCCAUUUCAGCCCAAAAUUGCUCCAAAAUGCACCAAAAUGCACUUUUCUUGCCAACUUUGUUAUUAGGACCUAACAACAUACGAAAAUGGCUUAAAACACUCUUAUAAGCAAUAACUAACUAAGUAAGUGCAAGAAAACAUGUUAACUAAGUCGCAUAAAUAUGCUCCUAUCACAGUUCCGACUCAUAGAUGACCCACGAUUUAUCGCUAGCCAUCACGUGAUCAUAGGACUAAAGCGUAUAUAUUUACACCCAGCUUGUCGUACAGGUCACACUAGGUGACUCCGACUCGUGUGCUAGCAUAGACUGAUGAGCAAUAGGUCCAUUCAUACAUGUCACAUUAGGUGACUCCAACUGGCACGCUAGUUGAUUAUUCACACCUGACUUACAUUUAUUUUUAUUGAGAUAUUGUGACAUGGCAUGCUUUUGUUGUCACUGCUUUUAUGCAUUGGUUCUUUAUGUUUACGUAGUGUUAUUUUCUGGAAACUAUACAUGUUUUACGGCAAGGGGUUAUAAUGUUUUCAUUGAAACUUUAUUUUUAGGCCCACUCAUCCUUGUUUUUCAUCCCUCCAGGUUUUAGCAGCAGAACUUUGUAUCGACGAGGAUUCUUGGCAAUUCUCAAUAUAGGUGGCUACCUUUGAGGGUAUAAUCAUUAUCCUAUCUUACUGUAUUUCACUUAUGCUCUGACAUCACGUGUGAAAUGGGUUCAUUCUCGCUCAUCGCGCACUCUUGUAUUUAGGCACUUUUAGGUUUAAAUUUAUUCACAUUUUCCAUCACACUACACUUUAUAACUUCGUCACCUUCCAGGUGUCGGCCAGCACAACAUGAUUUGGAGUCCAAGUAGACAUUCCGGAUCGAGGUGUGUCAUUAUCCUUGUUGAUCUAGUGGAGUUACACAAUGACAAUUACUUUCCAAAAGGGCAAUUGCCUUACUCCAACGAGUGUAACUGCUCUAAAGUAUCUCAUUUAGCAUAAAGAAUUAUGAGUAAAUGGGCUUAAACUUUGGUGCUCUCAAGUAGUCCAAAGUCUCAAUUAAAGAGCUUUUCAUAGGGUUUAUAGAGAUUGGCAACCUUCCACAAAUCAACUCCUCUUAAAUCGUAUGUAUUGGUUCCAUAUGAACUUGGUUGGUGUAAGGUUUAAACAAACGUUUUCGAAUGAUUCAUGUCUAUGUAGCCAUUUGCAAUUCACCUCAAUCAUUUAAUCAUUUCAAAUUCCUCUAUUUAAUAUUGCACAAUGCAUUUCUAACUAAAGUAGCCUAAAUUCAUUGGUAUUUGAUAACCUUCAUUCAAAUACAAUAAUAAAUCUAGUAUUGUCUCUAGCAUUGGUUUUAGCCUUCGGGUCUUUCACGUGAGAAGCAGUUAUAUGAGACGGGUUCAUCAUUACAUGAUUUUUUUUUAUCUAAUAAUGUGUUGUUAUGUAAAAGUUUUUCUUUACAUGGCAACAUAUUAUUAUAUUGAGACAUCAUGUCAUGUAACAGUAAACUCAUUUCAUAUAAAUUGCUCAUUUUUUUUACUCCAUUAUCCUUUUUCGCUUGGGCACCAUAAAGAAGUCAUCCAAUGAUCGAUGAUCAUAAAAAUUAAUAAAAAGAUAAUCUUUAGAAUUAAAGUGGAAUUUGAAAUGGAAUCAAAUUUGAAUUGAGAUCCAAACCUUCGUAUUAAACUAGAACAAGUUCACUAAAUAAAGGUGAGGCCAACCACCAACCAAUAUUUAUACAAAAAUAAUCGCAUUCCACUCCGACCCUACCGAAUUCUUCAGGCCAUUAACCACCAUUGAAUAAACAGUACAGAAAAUCAUAAAGUAAUUAUGCUCUUAAACCGAAAAGAAAUCGAGAGUAAUUAAUAAUUAGUGCCAAGAUAUCAUUAAUAUUAUUUUUAAGGAUUCGGACGCGUAUAGUGAUAUAUUCUAUCAUUACGUCUCUCAGAUUCCGCAUCGAUUGGUGCGAGAUAUUCUAUCGUCAAUGUUUCUCGGACACUUUCUUGUUAAACCCAUUUACUACAACUAGGGAUUAAAUUUUUUGCCAAAUUACCAACCAUAUUAUACUAAAGUUCUGUAAAAAAAUUUGUAUCAUUGGUAAUGAUACGAUAUUUGUAUCGUACCAUACAUUUUUGGAAGAUAAUAGUAUUCAAAAUCAUUACCAAUUAUAUACCAUACUGUAACACUACUAUUAAUAUUAUAUAAUUUAUUUAUUCAUUUAUAUAUAUUUACGUAUUAUUAUAAUUAUAUAUGCACUUUAUAUUUUUUUUCCUAGUCAUUUAUCCAAUCAUCUCACAUUCUAACCUCUACUUUCCCAAUAAAAAAACAUAAGCCUUCUUACGCUGCGACUCUUCAUCUUUUCACUCAUCUAGCCACCGACUUCAUCUAUGUUGCUCUAGUUUCGGCGACUGUCUCUCCGGAGUCCACCUCAUCUUCUCCUUUAUCAAAUUGGGAUGUCUUUCUCCCUGGCUUUGUCUAUCAAGUUAAUUUUUGUUUAAUUUUAAAGAAUGUAAAGAUGAAAUUUAAGAAUCUUUGUACUAUUUUUUUAGGGAUAUUGGGUUCUUUGAGCAAUUCUUCCAUCUGUUUACUUCUUUGUUUCUUUAAUGAAUCUUUAUAAAAUUCUCAUAAUUAAAUAAAAAAGUUUUAGAAACCCAAAAGGAGUGACCCAAACACGUUUGGGCCUUGAAUUGGGUUGGAAAAAAAAUCAAAUUUUGGCCCAAAAGAAUGACCCAAAACAAAGUGGUAAUUACCAUUACCAUAUCAUGUCAACCGAACUAUUUGGCAUGCCGAAAUUUGGUAUAUCGAAAGUUUGGCACAGUAAUGAUAAUAGAUUUUAUCAUACCAAAAGUUUGGUACGGUAAUUGAUACAUGGGUUUUGGUACGAUAAUUGUACCAAUACCACCCCUAACUACAACUAUCCAAUCAAAGACUAAUCCCGUUUCAUGAGAGAAUUAUGACUAAUAUCAAUUUCACGAGAAAUUUUUCAAGGUGACAGGAACCCACAUAACCAUGGACACUUUAUGUAUCCAUUUAAUCGGAGGAUGUCACAUGCCUAACCGAAGAAUCUACCUAAUUUAUUUUUAAUGAAAUUACGCUGUCUGUUCUAUUAAUAAAUCCACAAGGUUUAUCUUUUAAAAUGUUAAUUAAAUUAGAACUAAAACAGAAAAAUAAAAAUAAAAAUCUCCAAUCCAAAUAACCCCGUCCCCGGCGAGACACACCACCCCCGAUCCCACCACCACCACCUCUGAUCCCGUUCAAAUCUGGUACCGCCACCACCUCCCUCUCUUGCUCUUCCUCAUAGACGAACAAUAACAGGCACAGUGGCAGACGUCGACGCUAUUCUACCCCUCCCCGAACCCAUGCGGACCAUCUUCCUCAUUGUCAUCUUCAUCAGCAUGAUUUUCAAGUUUUUCUUUGACGUGCUAUCUUUGCUUCUUGUUGGGUUUUUUUGUAAGAUGUAAUCUGAAAAUCAACAAGUUACUAGGAUUACAGAUAUAACAAAUAUAACUACAAUAAAUCAAUCAAACAAUUAAAGGGAAAUAAACUUAUCUUCCAAAGCAGAGGAAGAAGACGCUAUGACUGCUAGGGUUUCAUAGGUUGUCUUCUACUUCCAGUACUUCAAAAUGUCUCUCUACCGUGAAUAGGGUUUGGCAUGAUUGAGAGUACAAGCAUAUGGAAGCAGGAACUUAACUGUGGUAUUUAUAUCAUUAGGGUUUUCAUCACAUCCGACCUAUCAUUGGCUAUGAAGAUCUACCCUAUCUCUCUAGUAUUUAAGUCCCACCAUGAUACGAUACCUUUGUAAUAAAUCUAUCAGAUUUCCUCUAGGUUAAUUGCAAGGGACAAGACUCCAUAAUCCUUAUUAGGUUAGGACUAUCGGAUCACUUUGGUUGCUAACCACUCGAUAGACAAUUGGCUUACAACAAAAAGAUCCAAUACAACAUUCAUUGUCAUUCACAAUCUUAUAUUCUCCCACUUGAAUGUCAAUAAUUCAUCCUAACAAAAUAAGAACUCAUUGUGAUCACUGAGUCUUCAUAAGUAUGCAAUAACCUUUCCUAGCAACCUGUCACUUUGAAUCGAAUGCCGAACCAAAGAAAAACAAAGAACAACUUGGUCUGUUCCUUGCACUCCAAGAUCACAUACACAUUCAACUUAAAGCACUUUGUUGCUAACAAAGUCAUGGUGUCAAGAGCUAAUAGUCAAAACAUUAGCUCACAAUAGUCAAACUGAAAAUAUGAAAAUAUAUUUCAGUACAAAAGUAGUUCACAAAAGAACUCAACAACGUUGGUAACAACAUCCAACUUCUCUGUCAAUUUAGAAUAUGAUAAGAGAACAAGUAAAAUAUGACAUACUAUUUACAAAAUCAGAACCUCUUAUUAAAACUUAUGAACAAAACUUAAACAAAAUUUACUCUUAAAAUAUCAGCCACUAACACUUCAAAAUUUUAACACAAAAGGUAAUCUCUUACUCCCACUGAUUAGUAGAGAUAAACAAAUUAUUACUCCCACUGAUUAAGAGAGUAAAAAAAACUUUAUAAAUGCCUAUAAAAUGAAACUGACACCUUUCAAAUACUCCCAUUAGCAAAACAUUAGUCAUGGGAUCUAAAACAUAAAAUUUGUGAGCUCAACAUCUUUAUUUUAGAUAUUUGUAGGGAAGUGAUUCUCGUGACUGAAAAACUAUACAAAAUUAUUUGGUCAGUUUUGUUCAUCUAACAAUUGACAGAAAUAGAAAACUUUAACUGAAUGUUUUCUAAUGCAUCAAAAGCAUAUAAUUCUAGAAUCAUCUUUGGAUAGAAACUAAUUAUAUUAGGUUUGUAUAGCUAAAACAUAAAAUACAAGGGCAAAUGUAUAUAGCUUCAACACUUUUGAGCAGAUGAAGUAUAUGCAAUCUUGUCAAUUUCAUGUUUCACCAUACAUUGAUUUAUAGUUGUACUGAAAAAGAAAACACUUUUGAGCAGAUUAAUUAUUCAUCAAUAACAUAUAAAUCACAAGUCCAAUUUCUUGAACAACAUACAAGAAUUAAUAAGCAAAACACUUUUGAGCAGAAUAUACUCAUUAACCCUUCUUGAAUUUCCUACAAGAUUAGUUGCAUAUAUAACAAAUAAAAUAUAAAUAAGUAUGAUAAUGUACGUUUUAUCUACCAAAACUAUGACCAUUAAAAGCAUGCAAAAUUGAUGAGUGUGAAGCCCAUAAUACAUUAUUUCUCCCACUUGGGCAAACACUCAAAAUUGCAAGAUUAAACACUAGAGAAAGUGAUUUUCAUUUAACAAAAUAUAUGCAAGUUGAAUCAAUCAAGAUCAAAUACAUAAUUUUUUUUUUUAAAGUAGGUUAGAAUUAAAAAGUUCCAUAAAUAAAAACUUAUGCAAUGACUACAAAUUUUAUUUUAUUUUAGUGUAUGAGAGAAGACUCACAUAUGUGUUAAAGAUUAGGUCAUCAAUUAAAAUGAAACCUAAUAAGAGAAUCUGUUGAUGCACAAAUAUCAGCGAGGACUUUGGUACAACAGAAAGUGUCAGGUUGUGACCUUCGCUUGGUUGCUUCGAUCACUUUUGAAGAUAAGUACGUAAAUGAAUAGGGACAGGGAAGCAAACACAAGAUGUACGUGGUUCACCCAGAUCGGCUACGUCCACGGAGUAGAGGAGUUCUCAUCUACGAUGCAUGGACACGGGGAAAACUCAACGUAUCCCGUAUCUGACACGCAGGGAUACGGAUACGUACAAAAUACGUAUGGAUACGCGCCCGAUACGUAUCGGAACGAAGGUAUACGUUCUUUAUUACCAAGAUACGCGUAUCAUAUUGUCGAGAUACGCGUAUCAUAUUUUUCGGAUACGUUUCAAGCAAAAUCAGAGGAUAAUCAGAAAAAAAAUCCAAUAGAUCCGCACAGAAUCGUGAUUGAUUCGAAUUAGAUAACUUAAACGAUUGUUUAACUAAAAACCAAAACGAUUUCGAACCUCAGAAAUCAGACUCAUCUGCAAUUGCUCCGUCCGUCCGUCGUCUCUAUCGUCUCCGUCUGCAACUGCUCCAUCGUCUCCAUCGUCUCCGUCUGCAACUCCUGGUGAGAGCCUUCGACUUUGUUUUCACUUUGUUAAUUUUGAAGCUCAAUCUGAUUGCAGAACCCCUCUGAAAUUGAAAGAAACAUGCUGCUCUGUUUUUAUUCGAAGCUAAAAGCCCCAUUUCUGCUUUAAGCCAUUGACUAAUUCAAUGUAUCUGUUAUGCAAAAUUGAAAAAGCCAAAACCCAAUUUUGCUUUCUGUAUAAUAUAUUAUUUUGAUCUUCGAAGAUCAAUCAAUGGGGUCAGAUGGUGUGCAAUCAGUAAUCACUUAUCUGUUAUACAAAAUAAUAUUAUAUACAAAAUACUCGUGCCCACUUUUGCUUUCUGUAUAUAAUAUUAUUUUGUAUUUUGUAUAUUAUAAAUAAUAUACUAUUGUGCUUUCAUGAUAUUUAGAUUAUAAUAUUUUAUGGAUUUCAUGAUGUAUUUUUUAAUCUCUUAAGUUAAUAUAAAUUUCUCGUGUAAUAGUCUCUGUCUAUACAGUGGAUUGACUCUUAUUGUUUAUAUAUUUGAUUCUUACAAUUUACAUGUUGAUAAUUUAGGAAAAUGAAUCAUCCUGAUAAUCAUGCGAAUGCUAAUGUCAACCUAGUUGAGAAUGUUGAAAAUGAUCAUGGUACACUAUGGAAGUAUGUCAAAAAGCUCGAAAGAGUGGAAAAUGGAAGAGGAGGUAGUGUGUUUCAAUGCAACUAUUGUCAAAAGAUUUUCAGAGGAUCUUACUCUAGGGUCAAGUUUCAUUUGUUAAAAGUGUCUGGAAAUGGGAUCGUCUCUUGCAAUAAGGUUACUGAUGAAGCUCUUGCAGAAAUGAAAAAGCUAGCUCAAGAAUGAGGGACUCUUUCUUUUUAUUUUUUAAGUCGUUUGGAUGUUCUUUUUAGUUUUUCAAGUUUGAAGACUAAUUUGUUUAGUGGAUUAUCUUUUAAAUGUUUGAAGUUUAUCGAAAUAAAUUUGAACUUGAAUAGUAUAUUUGAAUGCUUAUUUUAUAAUAUUUAGAUAUAUUUAUUUAUUUAUAUUAUUUUUAAUUGCCGUAUCCUUGCCGUAUCGUGUCUUCAUUUUUAGAAAUUUGACGUAUCCCCGUGUCGUGUCGUAUCGUAUCUCCGUAUCCGUGUCCGUGUCCAUGCAUCAUAGGUUCUCAUUAAUUGUGAAGGGUUUACACAAAUACAUAGGUUCAAGCUCUCAUUUUGUGAGUUCUAGUGAAUAGUUUAGUACAAAAUGACAUUAGAGAUUAUUGUGGGAGAAUGAUCCCUAUUUAUAGAAGAGAGUUUCUAGUUUUGUUCUAACAUUGACACGUGUUGUGUUGUGAUUGGCUUCUGAUGUUGACACAUGUCGAGCUGUGAUUGGCUUCUGAUGUCGACACGUGUCGCAUUGUGAUUGGCCUCCUGGUUGAAGGGAAGCUCUUCUGGUCCUUGACGGUAUAACGUUGACCGGUGCUCAGUAGUUUCGGGAUUGGUCAAGUAUGGUACAAACAAAAUCCAAACUCAAAAUUUAUGUUUUAAUUCUAAAACAAAGUCGAGUAAAAUAAACACUUAGAUAUCUCAACAACAACAAUUUUUUUUUUUUAAUAAUUUUAAUCCAAUUUAGAACUCACAGAAAAUUAAGGCAAAAGAUUGGCAAAUUUACCUACUCAUUCUUGAUUCUGCGAGAUUCAUCAUGGAAUUAGUCGAGUUGUGGAGGAUCGAACCAACUCCAAAUUGCAUGAUUGUUACACCUUCGGGCAGAAACUAAUCAUGCAAAGAAAAUACCUGCAUAGCUAGCCAAAACAUAAAAUACACAAAAUACAUAUAGCUUCAACAGCUUUGGCCAGAUGAAAAUAUGUUAGAAGUACUUUAUGAUAUAAUACUAUUUUAUAAUUGGUGAGUGAUUUCCUGAAAUUCCCAUUGGGACAAAAGUAUUCACCAUAUAAAUUAGAAUUCUGAUUUUUCAAAAUAAUCCUUUAGAACAGUAUUAAAUAACCGUUUUGUUGGAUAUUCAAUGAUUCUCAAAAGAUUCAAUCAGACACAAAAGUAUGUCAUUAUUGACAUUGAACAAUAGAGUUCUCGAAAGAGGAAACAUGGUUAUUCAGGUAUUCGAUAGAGACCAAAAUGAUCAAUUAGUAAACUAAUGCCACUUUCCAAUUUUCUCUCAAAAGACAAUCAUCAUAAUCAGAAUUGAUGACCAAACAAAACAUUGGUUUAAGCAAAACAAACCAAUACAUCUUUAAAUCAAAAUUUAAUCAGUGUUGUCUAUAUAAAAUUCAUUAGUAUUGAGAAUUUGCAUAUAAUAAGGACAUAUCGGAACCAUAACCUUGUAUAAUAAUCGGUACCAAUAGAUGUGCACAAAUUAGUGAAACAAUAUCACAUAACAAAACUAGUUUUGAAGUACCAAAAUUCAGCAGUACUACUUUAGUUUGCAAAUUCACUAAAAACUCAAUUCUCUUUAGAUUGUCCUGAAAAUUUUCAAGUAUGAACUAGACAUAUAUGACUACUAUUUCGAAAAAUUUCAUGAUUUUUAAAAUCUUAUAAGUGAGCCAAAAAUGAAUUCGAAAAGAGAGGUGCUACAGCAUUAAUAUGUGUAUUUGAUAUAUCAAAAUCUCCUUUUUAAGAUAAGAAAACAAUUUAAAAAUGACACCAAAAUGGCCACGGCAUUAAUAUGUGUAUUUGAGAAAUUUCCCAAAAGCACUUGAGUCUCAACUUUGCAAUUUUAUGUUUGAAGAUAAAAGUCACAAAGGACAAACGUAGCAAACAUAAAUUGUAAUAUUAUAUAUAUUAUAUUAAACGAAGGAUAAAUUAGACUUAUUAAUCCAACAACUCAUAUUUGAUUUUAGAAAAGAAAGUCUCAACAUUAAUUGGUCCCAACCAUCAGUCAUAGAAGCAUAAGAGAAAAUCAAAAGUUACCAAAUUCUUAUUCCUGAAGAGGGAUGCUUCCAGGCAUAACGAUAGAUGGAAGCGUAAAUCAACUUAAUUAAUAUGUAUGGGAAAGUUAGUUUGCAAAGCAGUUGGACUUUAUAUUCAAAUUAGUUUAACUAAUCAACUAACACACCAAAGUGGCCAUACCAUUAUUCUUGUAAACCAUUACUCAAAAAUAUGCAGCAAACUGGAAUAAAUGAAAUUAAAUGCAAUUGAGGAAAAUCCUCAAAGCCUCAUUCUAGGCAUUAGGAAUGAAGGCCGAGAAAACAUAAAAUGUGAACAUGAUAUAAGAUCACAAUGGCUCACUCAAGUUAUCUCCUAAUGGCAAGUGAUUCACAUUGAAAAAUCUUCGAAAACAACCAAAAUUUUAAACCUGAUCAUUGACACGGUGCGCUAGGAGAAAGAAGCAUGCAAAAUAAUUAUUAACUUAAAAUGGGAUUCCAAAACAAGGAACCCUAACCACUGCCCAGGAGCAACACAAAUGCCAACCAAGCGGAUCAAAACCAAUCUUGAUAUUAAUCAUGUUAAAAAAAAAUAACAAUAGUUAAAUUAUUUAUAUGCAUAUGUGCCAAGCCUUCGAACUUUAAAUCCAAUGCAAAAUUAUAUAUAUAUAUAUAUAUAUUUGAGGUAUAGCCAUAUAUAAAGCAAUCAAAUUUGCUUCUUAAUUAAUCAUUAUCUCGACAUGGCUAAGAAAACUUAUCGUUAAGUUUUCCCAUGAAAGCCAAAACAAAACCUUUUUUUGAUAAUUACAUGAGAAUCAUGAAGUUAGAAAAGUAAUUAUAAAAAUACUCUAAAAUUAAGCGGAAGCCUCAGGAUCGAUAAGUAAAAGACCUUUAACUAAAACACAAACUAAUUGUGCCUUCAGUUUGUCAAAAAUUUGUUCAAACAGAUUACCUUUAAUCCGAACCCUCAAGCUUUGCAAAUUUCUUGGCAGAUUUGUAUCUACAGACAAAAUAAUACAACUACACGCAGAAGUAAUUUCUGCAAAUGGGUCAAAUUAAAAAUAAUAAUAAUAACAUCUAAAUAAUUAUUUGCAAAGCCAAUAUGAUAAUCAAUCCACAUAUUGAAUUAUCAGCAAUUAAAUCAAUGAAUCGUAUUAUUUGCAGAAGCUUUACACAUUGUAAAGGAUAAAAGUGAUGGCAUGAUACGUUACCAUUAUAUUCAAAACCAACCAUGAUCGAAAUUCUGAAUCUUAGACGAGUUGAGUGGCUCUGAUACCACAUGUAAGAUGUAAUAUGAAAAUCAACAAGUUACUAAGAUUACAGAUAUAACAAAUAUACUACAAUAAACCAAUCAAACAAUUAAAGGGAAAUAAACUUAUCUUCCAAAGCAGAGGAAGAAGACGCCAUGACUGCUAGGGUUUCACAGGUUGUCUUCUACUUCCAAUACUUCAAAAUGUCUCUCUACUGUGAAUAGGGUUUGGCGUGAUUGAGAGUACAAGUGUAUGGAAGCAGGGACUUAACCAUGGUAUUUAUAUCAUUAGGGUUUUCAUCACAUCCGACCUAUCAUUGGCUGUACCAAUCUACCCUAUCUCUCUAGUAUUUAAGUCCCACCAUGAUACGAUAUCUUUGUAAUAAAUCUAUCAGAUUUCCUCUAGGUUAAUUGCAAGGGAUAAGACUCCAUAAUCCUUAUUAGGUUAGGACUAUCGGAUCACUUUGGUUGCUAACCACUCGAUAGACUAUUGGCUUACAACAAAAAGAUCCAAUACAACAUUCAUUGUCAUUCACAGUCUUACAUUUUUCUGAUAGGGCAUGAACUUGCAAGGCAGACGAGCACAGGAGUCGACUCAUUGAGUUAAUGGCGGCACGAGUUAGAGAUUGUAGUGGGGAAGACGGAUGAAAUAGAAUUUGGGAGGAGCGGGGAAGACAGAUCGGCCGCCAGGGAGGGGCGCUGUCAUUGUGGGUUGUUGGCUCGACUGUCGAGAUUUCUAUUAUUUAGUUUUAUAUUUUAUUUAAUUGAUUUUCUUAAAAAUUAAAUCAGGUAGACUUUAGUGGGGCACGUGACAUCCUCCGAUUAGAUGGGUAAACAAAGUGUCUAUUGUCACAUACAAGUAUAUGGAUUAUGAUGAUCUCCCAUUCUCUUUCCAUUCCCUUCCAUCAUUCUUUUCAUAUUCUCUAUUUUGUCUUUCUCUUUCUAUAAAAAUAAUAAUAAUAAUAAUAUAAGAUGUUGAUGUGGCUUAACCGUGACCAUUCAAAUAAGAGGGGAGGGUAAAAAAAAGGGAGUAUUUUUGCUCAUCACCAUUUAGUGUGGUAUAUGCUCACCACUUUAUUUAUCACUAUUAGAUGAGUUUGAAUUUCGAAUUGGUGUAGUAGAUAGGUAUAAAUCUCGAAAUUCAAACUUAUCUAAUGGUGAUAAAUAAAGUGGUGAGCAUAAACCACACUAAAUGAUGGUGAGAAAAAAUGCAUUCUAAAAAAAAGAGGGGAGAGAAUCCUUCUCCCAAGUAUAUACCACCAAUGGUGCAAAGGAGAAAGGACAAUGUGAGGAAAGCUAAAAUUUUAAAUUAAAUUUACAAAUUAAAUAAUGUGUAACAAAAAAAAAAAUUAAUGUGCUUGAAACACAAAGUUGUACACCAUGUGUCUCUAACAAGUGGUGAGAUUCUUGUGUUGAAAAAAUAAUAACAUAAAACAUAAAAUUUCCCACCACUUAUAUAAUAACACGUGUACCACUUGCAUUACGGGCAUAAGGAAAAAUUGCUAGUGUCACCAAUAGGUGCACGUUAAUCAAUACUUACAUAAUAAUUUAAUCAUCAACUACAUCGUUUGGUUUAAAAAUUUAGUAUCCUUAACAUUAUCCAAAGAGAAAUGCUAAGAGACUCAAAGGGUGAGAUUCUGCAAUUUCACGGUUUGAUGUUGAUUUGCAUGUCAAUGUAUAAAACAAUGUUGAUCCAAUCACACACAAGUAUAUACCACCAACGGUACAACUAAGGAGAAGUUUCGAACGAUCCCGCUACAUCAGGACCCUUUUAGAGCAUGUUUACGUACACGUAAUGGGAAUCAAAACAUGAAAUUAUAUUCCGAUUACGGACCAUUUCUAUGUUUACUAAAUUUUAAGGAAUCAAAAAUAUAGUGGGACCCACACAAAGUUUGGAAUUCAAUUCCUCACUUUGGAGGAAUUGGAUCCCUUGAUAGUAAGUGGUAUUUGAGUUUCGGAAGAAUGAGGGAAUGGGGAAUCCAUUUUUCAUACCCAUAAUGCCCUCACAUAAUUGCUGAAAUUCCAAUGAUAAAACAAGCACAGGUGCCCAGCGCUAGUCUGUUUCCUUCUCCCUCACUACCGCCCCCUUCCUGUCUUCCCAAGGCCACAUACCCACCAUCAUCUUCUUAGACAACAACGACAGCCAUAAAACAAGAAUAAGCGAAAGCUGAAGAAGAACCCAUUUUAGUUUUUUUUUAUUUUAAACAAUGCUAAAAACCAAACUCCGGACAUUCAAUCAACAUGAAAUACCCCGUAAACUAAACUUCAAAGAAAUUACAUCACCACAACCAACACUUCCCAUAGGCCUCAAACCAACCGUGAAUUUCAAAUUGUUGAAAGAUGAUUGAGGCAGAGAUAGAGAGAACGGUUGGGUUGGGGUUUGGGUUAGUUUUUUAUUUUUAAUUUUAUAUCAAUUGACUUGAUUUCCUGUAAGUUUUUAUAAAAUAUUUAUUUAUAAUAAAAGACAUUCUAGUAAUCAUACAAAUUUUCAUUCCGAUCAAGUGAAUUAGUAAACAACUUACAUUCAAACAAGACCAUUUAUACUCUGAUUCCAGAUUUAAUGGAAAUCUGGAUUUCAAUUCUCCUCAAUUCAAUUCAAUUCCCCCUCAAUCCAAUUCUGUCUAUUUUGAUUAAGGAUUAAUAAACGAACCCUUAAUGUUGAACAAAAGUCAGUACUUUACAUUAAGCUAGAACUAAAAAGGCUACUCCUAGUAGAAGUGACAGAAUUAUUGUUGAGUACGUAGCAAAAUUAUUAAGCAUUUGAGCUAGAACUGUUCGUACAUUUUUUAUCUGGCCUGGUCGAGCAGUGGUACAGCUACAGAGUACUAAUUUAUAUGCCUAACGUUAUAAAACUACAAUAAUAUUUCUCAAUUAUUUUAUAAUUUAAUUUGUUGACACUUCUCAACUGAAUUAUGAAAGCACCGCCGCGAGCCCAGGGACAAGAUACCUCGAGUCCUGACGCAUUCAGGUAUUGUCGCAUAGAUAAUCAUAAGUAAAGUUCCACCAGAGAGAACCAAAUUUGACGAGUUCAGCGGCUUAUACUUUUAUGGGUAUUUGUAGUAUGAUUUUCUUAGAUUUAUUAUUUACAUUAAACGUAUUCGUUUAAAUUUUUUAGAUUAGUGACCGAUUAAAUAUUCAAAUUUCAACUCAAAUCAGAGAUAUAUGAGAACGAACAACUUUUUCUCAAACACCAUUUUUUGUUCUUUGGGAACCAAAAUACAUGGAAAAGUAAAGAUAGGAGCAGCUUCAUCGAUCAAAAUUAUCGAGCACAAACACACACACCAAUACCAUCGAACUACCCGGAAACCAGAACCAGAACAGACCAUGACCCUAAAACACAACCAGAAAACGUUAACACUAACAUCUCAAAGUCCCAAACCACCUAUAACACUAAUCUAACUCCUCCAGCUGCCGCCUUCAGCGCCACCACCUCCUCUGGAGUAGCGAGCACCGCCACCUUCACCGCCUCCAUAGCCACCCUCACGACGACCACCACCACCUCCGUAUCCACCGCCACCACCUCCACGGCUGUACCCACCACCACCGCCUUCACGGCGACCGCCACCUCCGUAGCCACCACCACCACCUCCGUAGCCGCCACCGCCGCCUCCGCGGCUGUAGCCACCUCCGCCACCACCACCACCGGAUCCGCGAGACUGAGCCUCGUUGACGGUGAUGUUGCGGCCGUCGAGGUUCUGGCCGUUCAUGCCUUCGAUCGCGUCCCUCAUCGCCUGCUCGCUGCCGAAGGUGACGAAGCCGAAGCCCCUGGACCUCCCAGUCUCACGGUCGUUGAUGAUCUAAAACCACAGAAAACACAGAUCGCAUCAGAUCCACACAUCAAACACCAAGAUCACAUAAAACAAUCACAAAAAAAUUCAAAAAAUAAAAGGAACCGAUCGAUCGUCAAUCUUUGGGAGAGAAAGAUUGAGAUGAACGUACCCGAUUUUGUGAGAGUAAUAAUAAGAAUCAUAGAUAGUAACAGAGAAUCAUAGAUCAAGUAACACAGAGAGAGAAACAGAAUCAGAUCAGAGAGAAGAACAGAACGACAGAUGGCCGAGGCCGAAUCGGGUCAGAUCCGAUCUCUCCGUCAAACGGACCUUCGAUUCGAUGAUCUCACCAUACUGGGAAAAGGCCCUCUCCAGCGCCUCAUUGUCGGUGGCCCAUGCGAGCCCUCCGACGAAGCAACGGAACUCGAUCUCGGCAGAGGCCAUGGCUACCAGUAACCCUAGUGACAAAUGGGACUCGAAUUUUACGUCGAAAGAACAAGAGAACAAGAGAGCACGAGGGCCAGCAAUCCCCCAACCCUCGUUAAUAUAGGCCCUCGGGCACCCUCGACUAGGGUUAACCAUUUCCUUGGUGUUUGGUUACCAGGGUUUAAGGUCCAAGCCCAGCGUGUUUGGCUACGCGGUUUACAAUUUCACCAUACUGAAUUUAUCUACACGUCGUCGUUUUUGGUUUGUUUUGCGUUGAGGAUAUUUUUAUCCCUUGUUUGGUGGGGAGUGUUAUCGCCGUUGCCAAACGGGUAGAGGAUAGAGUCGUGUCUUUCGGUUUGCGGAAACCCUGGUUGAAAACGACAAAUAUAAUGAAACGAGGGGACGGGUUAGCUGUAGGGUCCGCUCGUCACGUGACAGUGGAUUAGAUAUUUUAGUGACGCGAAAAAUAUCUUUUGCAUGGAAGUACGGCCUUGCCCCUUUCUUUUGCGUAAAUUUCCGUGCCUAGCCACAGCAGUUGGUAUCUCCGCCGAGCAUCUGACCAAUUUUUUUGUCUUUUAAUACUGAGAGCCCAUAUCGAUAUCUGGAAAUUCUUAAACGGAUAUGUACGAUAUUUUUCGCAGAACAAUCAAAUUUAAAAAUUGAUAUGUCAUUAAAUAAAAAUAAUUAUAUUAAUUAAUAUUUAAGUAAUAUUCUGUUUUUUCAAACUUUAGUAAGAAUUAGGAGUGGACAAACGGGUCCUAGAUCCAUGGGUUGGGACGGGUAUAAGCGGUUUGGAACGGGUCCAAAAAUUCUAAAUAGAAAACAGGGCGGGUCCAUGAAAUUAGCGAGACAGGACAGAUCCAAAAUUUUGAGGAAACGGACCCCCGGACCGGACCGUUUCCACCAUUGAUUUAAUACCACUUAAAUCUACACCGUUGAAAUUGAGUUCCAUUUCCCAACCCCAUCAUAGAUUCACAACACAUUCUCUCUCUCUCUCUCUCUCUCUCUAAUGGCGUGUUUACAUAGGCGGAAAGGAUAUGGCGGAAUGGGAAUCAUUCCCCAUUCCUGAUUAUUGCUCUGUUUACCAACCUAAGCGGAAUGAACAAUUCUGCGAGUCCCACGUAAAAUCAGGAAUUCAAUUCCUGAUAUUGUCGGAAUUGGAUUACCUAGAAGGAGGUAGUAUUUGGAUUCCGGGGAGAAGGCUCCAUCCGGAAUCAAUUUUCCUUCCCAAAAUGCCCUGCACCUUCAGUCCUCCGCCAUCCUCUCCAGUAGCUCUCUGCUCAUCCGCCACCUCCUCUCGCUCUACCACCUCAAAAUCCUCCUCCAUAGGAUUCGGCAAAAUAAAAUCAACCCAAAAAUAGCAAAGCAUACCCAAAGCAAAAAUCAAAUCUUCAAAAAAACCGAACCCAGUUGCCAAUAAUAACAGAAAAUUCAGCAACAAAAGGAAAUGGAAAUGACGAAGAAGAGAGCGGUACCAGAGAGGUCGAGGGAGAGGAGCGGGUUCAGGUGAGAGAGACUCGAGCAAGACCCGAAUUGGCGCUCAGGUUUGUGGAGUCCCACGCUGAGGCACAGGCCCCGACGCUCGCACGUCGCCGAGGAAGGUGAUCUCUCUGCCGGGAUGAGGCUAUGAGCCGUGGGUUGUUGAUGAUGCCAAUUUGGAUGAGGACAACAAUGGGUUCUCUUAUCUGGGUUAGUAGAUAAGCACGGGACUUCAACUAUAAAAAUCCAAAAAUAAAAUAAUAAAAGUUUUACUAAAAAAUAAAAAGUAAUAAUUGUUCUCUCAUCUGAAAAAAAAAAAUUGAAAGAAUAAAAGAUUUACUAAAAAUAAUUAGCAUAUAAAAUUGAUUAAUUAAACUAGGGGUAUUUUAGUAAUCACAAUAGUUUUCAUUCCGAUUCAUGUGAAUUAGUAAACAGUUAUGUAGGUCAAUGUCAUUCAUACUCCGAUUCCUGCUAGUUUUAGUAAACAACUUCAAAAGGAAUUUGAUUCUGAUUCCAUCUCAUUUAUAUUCCUCCUCAAUUCAAUUCCUCCUCAAUUCAAUUCCUCUCAAUUUAAUUACGGAUUAGUAAACGUGCCUUAAGUCUCAAUCUCAUAUUUGGAUAACCCUUUGUUCCUAUCUUUCUCGCUCAUCUCUCCCAAUCCCAACUUGAUGUCUCUGUCUCCCGACUCCGGUCGUCGAAGAUGGUGUCGACGAUGACAUGAGGCUCCAGAUCGGAGAUGCUCCAAGGGACCUGAAGGAUAGUAGAGAUCGAAGAUGGACGAUGAUGGCGCGACGACGAUAACGAGCUCGUCGAUGAUGGUGGGCUCCAGAUUGACGAAGAUGACGCGAAUGACGUGUUUUCCGAGGACGGUCUUGGAGAAUACAGUGUUGAAUGUGGGUUUUUGGACCUCUGGACUUGACUUGAAGUGGUUUUUGACAACAUCAAAGAACCUGGUCCUAGACUAUCAUCACCCAUCACCGUCGGUGCUACAACCACCACCCACCACCACUAUCGAGGACAAUAUCAUCCUUGCGAGUUCUGGGUUAUGUUAUGUUUUUUUUGUUUUUUGUUUUUGUUUUUGGCUGUUUAUAUGCUGAUUGCUAUUUCUUUUCAAUUUUGAUGUUUUGAUCAUUGUUUGGUUUGUUUUGUCUGUGUGCAUGAUUAAUAGGGUUUGAUUUGUUGUUUUUGCAUCUGGGUUUGCUUUGAUUUAUUGCUUGUUGUGCAGCUGUGCUACUUAUUCUUGUAUGUGGUGAGGAAGACGACCUUAAAGAGGUCGUCCUUUUUAUGGCUAAAAGAAAAAAAAAUGAUAUUGGACCCGUGGACCCGGCCCGUUUCAACUCGUUUGGAAUGAGUCGGGUUAGGUCCGAUUCCCAAUUCUGAAAUCUCAUUACCCGGCUCGGCUCGCCCCGUUACUAUUUACCACAGGUAAGGUCUGGUUUGUUGAUGCACAAAAUUAGAGGUCUUGGAACAACGUAAAUCCGACCGUGAAUCUGCAAGAAAUGUAAAUACACAAGAUGUAUCGUGGUUCACCCUAAGGUUUGGGCUACGUCCACACUGAUUAUGUAUUUAUCUGAGAGGUGAGGGAGAGAACCUCUGUAAUGAGAGGAGAUGUGAGAGGGGUGAGAAGGCUCCAUUAAUGGCCUCUUUUAAUUGUGAGGGUAACGAGUCCUUUUAUAGAACAAGGGCCCCUCACUUAUUACAUAUUUGCCCCUUCCUUUAUCACAUAAUUACAUUUAAAUCCCCCGAGUAUUUGUACAAGAUCUAAAUACGAGGCCCUAAAUAUGGUAUAAACAGUAGUCCCCCAAGUCUUCAGUCAAGAGAGUCUUUUGGCUGGAGACUUGAAAUUCAGUCCAUAUGUGGGUCGAAGUAACUAGAUGUUGUCUUGAACUCAAUGCUCGAUAUGAGGCGGUGCUCAAUCUGAAAUGAUGCUCAACUAGAAGUAGCACAUGCUGCUCGACUGCUCGGCUCGUGGCUUAUGUUGCCUUGGUUGGCUCGGCUUGUGGCGUUGAAGGUGAAGGAGUCCAUUUUAUAGAAUAAGAGGCUCGUUCCUCAAUACAUAAAUGAUGGGCUAGAGUUGAUGCUCGCGGCGAGGCGGUUGCUCAGUAGGCGGCGAUGCUCUCUAAUGAUGGUGAAUGAGUCCCUUUUAUAGAAUAAGGGCCCGCUCCUCAAUACAUAACUAUGGGCCAGAGUUGAUGCUCUCUAAUGGUGGUGAGGGAGUCCCUUUUAUAGAACAAGGGCUCUCUCCUCAAUACAUAAAUAUGGGUGGUAAGGGAGUCUCUUUUAUAAAACAAGGGUUCGCUCCUCAAUACAUAAAUAUGGGCUAAAGUUAAUGCUCUCUAUUGGUGGUGAGAGAGUCCCUUUUAUAGAACAAGUGCUCGCUCCUCAAUACAUAAAUAUGGGCUAGAGUUGAUGCUCUCUAAUGGUGGUAAGGGAGUCCCUUUUAUAGAACAAGGGCCCGCUCCUCAAUACAUGAAUGAUAGGCUAGAGUCCCCCAAGUUUUUUCAUGAAGCCCAGUUGAGGCCCAAUAUAUGGUAUAUAAUGUAGUCCCCCAGGUCUUUGGUCAAUAGAGUAUGUUGGCUGGAGACUUCAAAUUGAAUCCAUGUAUGGGUCGAAGUGGCGAUUGUUCGGAGGCGGUAUUUGUAUACCCUGCACUGAAGCUUUGUAGGUGAAGCUUUGCAGGUGAAGCUUUGCAAGUGAAGCUUUGAAGCUAGAGUUCUGUAAAUGAAGCUUUUGAAGCUAGAGCUUUUGUAAAUGAAGCUUUUGAAGCUAGAGCUCUAUAAAUGAAGCUUUUGAAGCUAGAGCUCUGUAAAUGAAGCUGUUGAAGCUAGAGCUCUAUAAAUGAAGCUUUUGAAGCUUAGAGCUCUGUAAAUGAAGCUUAGAGCUCUGUAAAUGAAGCUUUUGAAGCUGAUUGACAUGAGUGAUGCUCAUGAAUCUUUAUGUUGAUUGACAUGAGUGAUGCUCAUGGAUGUUGUCAUGAGUAAUGCUCAUGAAUGUUAACAUGAGUGAUGCUCAUGAAUGUUGACAUGAAUGAUGGUCAUGAAUGUUUAUGUAUGAUUGUCAUGAAUGAUGCUCAUGGAUGUUUAUGUAUGAAUGACAUGAGUAAUGCUCAUGUAUAAUUUGGAGUACUGGGCGUACUUUUGAUCACCUGGUUGGUGGCAUGAAUGAGAGUACGGGUUGUACAUUUCAUCACCUGGUUGGUGUCAUGAAUGGCUAGUUGCCAAAUGAUUUUCGAGUACGGGUUAUACAUUUCAUCACCUGGUUGGUAGCAUGAAUGGCUAGUUGCCAAAUGAUAUUAGAGUACAGGUUGUACAUUUCAUCACCUGGUUGGUGGUAAUAGCGACAGGUUGCCGAAUAAUUUUAGAGUAGUGGGCGUACUUUUGAUCACCUAGUUGGAGCUAUUUUGGGCUUAUAGGCCUUCGCUCUCUACACAACAUUCUAGCCCAUUUAUUUUGGGCUUUGCUGUUUUUUUUUUUUUACUAUUAUUACCCUCUGAUGAGGUUUAUACAUAUUACCCUCUGAUAGGGUUUAUACAGAUGUCUCUGAAAGAUAAAAUAAAUUACAUCAUUCUGGUGGGGUGUUUAUUCCUUGCUUUUUGCUUUCUGCUUUUGCUUUCUGUUUUGCUUUCUCUUUUCCCUUUUCUCUUUUGCUUUCUCUUUUUCCUUUUGGCAGAUGGCAGACAAGAAAUGGAGUGCAGUAUGGAUAUCAGGACAUAUGGCUGACAUAAUUUGUGGGACCUCAUAGGGUUGGCUAGCCUUGGCCGACCCUCCUUCUAGCGCAAAAUAUAUGACCCGUUUGGAUAUCAAGACAACUCAUAUGCCAUUGUAUUCCACUUCUCUCCACCCGCCUUUCCAAUUUCACGCAUUUGCUUGACACCUGGAUUUUGCUUUUGAAAAUCUUUACGAUAAUCCUCCUAGAAAUAGAAGAAAGCAGUUGGCGGUGAUGCUGUUUUUGAAAAUCCUUACGAUAAACACUUGGAUUUUGCUUUUGAAAAUUCUUCGGUAUCUUGGAAUCAAGUCUUGCACUUUUCUUCUUUACUGAAACGAUUCUCUUUCCCUUCGAGUUUAUGCUGCUUAACCUUACUGACCUCAUUUUCCCCUCACUUUGUUGGACCUUCAACACCAUUUCCCUAAAAGAACCAGUCGGUGGAGGAAGAAAACAAGAGUGACUGUUGAUAGUUGUUAGUUUUCUUUGCCGUGUUUCUUCGCUUUGGGCCUUACGACGUCGGUGAGGUGGUUCGGCGAGAAUGAGUGGGCAGGAAAUGGGAGGGACGUGCUGGUCUGCUGGGUUUGCCUAGAAGAACGUACAGAGUCAGAGGCACUCCUUGAGCAAUACCGCAAUAAACUUAUUAGGGCCUCCAAGCGCCACAGCAUCACCAUCCACUUUGGUCCUCGAAGGUGCAUCGACGUGAUCUUGUUGCUUUGGCAAUGGCGCAGGACCAGGUUUCACUGCAUCUUUCGCAUCGGCGCAACCACAGUCUCCUAUAGUGUUCCCAAUUUUUACAACACCAGCAACAAGAGGAAGAGGGUUAUUUUAUGGCAGUUUUCCAUGGAGGGUUUUUUUUAGCAGAGAAACGCCCAAAAAAGGCAGAAGUAGGCGGCAGCAGCAGCAAAAGCAGUUUCUUCAGAGCGUUUUUUUUUUUUAGGGUUGUGUUUGUUGCAAGAAUUCAAGCUUAUCGGCAAGGAUGUACCCCCCCAGAAGCAUGAUUCACGGUAGAGGUUAUGAAGUUUUCAUGGUGAUGAGAUAGAAAAAUGAAAGAGAACAGACAUAACUUUUCGUGUCGAUUCCCACAGACGGCGUCAAAUGUUGAUGCACAAAAUCGGAGGUAUUAGAACAAUGUAAAUCCGACCGUGAAUCUGCAAGAAAUGUAAAUAACACAAGAUGUAUCGUGGUUCACCCUAAGAUUUGGGUUACGUCCACACUGAUUAUGUAUUUAUCUGAAAGGUGAGGGAGAGAACCUCUGUAAUGAGAGGAGAUGUGAGAGGAAUGAGAAUGCUCUAGAAAUGGCAUCUCCUAAUUGUGAGGGUGAUGAGUCAUUUUAUAGAAUAAGGGCUCCUCACUUAUUACACAUUUGCCCAUUCCUUUAUCACAUAAUUACAUUUAAGUCCUCCGAGUAUUUGUACAAGAUCUAAAUAUGAAGCCCUAAAUAUGGUAUAAACAUAGUUCCUCUAAAUUUGGGCUCGGCCCGUGCCCACCCCUAGUAAGAACAUCUCCAAAGGAGAAGGAAAUGUCAAUUUUAAACAUAAAAUUUGAAUUUGACAGCCUAUGUGGCAUUUUGACAUCUUUCAAAAUUUUACUCUUCACCCGGUAUGUCAAAUUAAAUAUUAUUUUAUUACACUAUUUUCUUUUCUUAUUAUUUUAUUAAACUAUUAUUUUCUGGGUUUGGAAUGAAGACUCCAGAGUCCCAACCCACCCCCACUCCUACACGUAGAGAAAGAGAGAGAGAGAGCUCCCAUUUCCUUCCAGAGACAAACGAAAGAGGUAAGCAAGCACACACUCAAUUCUCACCCUCUAUUUUCAAUUACGUAUUCUUUGAAUUUCCAUCCAAUUUUAAGUUUUAACCAAAUAUCAGAUGCUUUUCCAUUCAUCAUGACGAUGUCUGGUCUGAUCGAUUCCCCUUUUCCAUAAAUACUGCUUGGUUGCUGAGAAAAGCAUAAGAAAAGUCAUCAAACCAAAAAAAAAAAAAAAAAAAAAAGAGCUUAAGAAAUUAAAUUAUGGAUUGUUGACUUUAUAUAGGGUUUUUGGAAAUUAAAGUUAAAGCCUUUGAAUGGUUUCAAGAAUUUUUAUUUGAGGUAUCCUUUAAGUAUUCUCCUUUAAUUUUUCUCUGUUCAGUUUGGUUGUCAAGAAAAUUAAAGCGUCAUCGCCUCUUUCUUCGUCUCACCUUUCUUCGACUCCUUAACGAAGAGCUCUACCAGCUUCCGGUUGUUUGGCUUGAUCAAACCGUUUGAAAUUCGGAGCCUUGGCGGGUCCUGGGCUUGGACUUGAGAUGGGUUGAGAGCUUGAGAAUGGGGGCGAAAUGGGCAAAUGACAGCUUGGGAAAAGAGUGAGAAGGGGUAGGGGUGUUGAUGAAAAGGGUGCCCAUGGACGUCAUUGAAGGAGGUGAGAGAGGAGAGUUGCAGAUAUGAUAAAAAAAAAUUAAUAAAAAAAUGUUUGACGUUGCUGUCAAAUUUGACAGCAAAGGGAGAGCUGCCAUUUCAUAUCAUGCCACAUCAGAUUUGGCUUUCAGUUGGAAAGCAUUGCAACUGUCUUUUUUUAUUGUUAUUGUUGAUUUGGACAUUUUGACAUCUCUUUUGGAGAUGCUCUAACAAUUCAAUCACCAAACAACAACAUUAUUUGAUCUGGUUAGCAUUAUCUAAUUUGUGUCAUCACAUAAAAGAAUAAAUUAAAUUACACUAAACUAUCUUAGUUUUCGGUCACACUACAAUUUCAUACCUCAUUUUUUAAAUGUUGAAAUGUCAUAUGUCAACUUAUGAAUUCGUUAUUAUGUCAAACAUCUGUUACAAAAUCUGUUAAGUAAAUCGUUAAGUGAUGACAUGAUAGCAAUGAGCUUCACAUUUGUGCUAACGUAUCACCUAUCUUAUGCCUCGUGGCCAAACAACUCAUAAAAAAAUAUUUUAAUUAUAAAGAUAUUUUUUUGUCAAAAUUAUUAAAGAUAAUUCACUUCAUUUAAUACUUUAUUUUAAAAAAAAAGAAAACAAACCCACAUCCUGAGUUCUUACCACACACCCCCACCCACAUUCCUUUCCCCUCACCCCUCUCUUUGCCUUCCUCUUUGUUAGCCGUAGCCAUUUCUCUCUCUAGCAACCUACAUAUCAAUGGAGGCUGGUGGGAGGCGUGGUGGUCCUCGAUGGAAUUGAGAUCCUUGUAAUGGGAUUUUGAGUUUUUAUGAUGGUAGGGAUUAAGGUUGUUCGAGAGGGUAGUGUCGACAAGCUCGAGAUCGAGUCAGUUGCCGAAAGGGUGGGGUCGAUGAACUCGUGGUCGGGUUGGUCGCUGAGGGUUUUGAGGACAGAAUAGGUAUAGAAGACAUCAGAGACAACGUGUUGAAUGGCGGUAAGGACCCUGGGAUCGGAGAGGUGGGGCAUCUGAUUAAGGAUGGGGGCUGAUCGGAGGGAUGGGCGUCGAAUUUUGCAGAGGUUGGGAGGGAAACAGUAAAAACAAGGAAAAAGAAAAAACGAGGGAAAAGGAAGGGAAGAAAGGAAAAAGAAUUGUUUGAAUGUCAGUCCACGUGUCAAUCAGUAAUUCUCGCACUUGCCACGUCAACAGUUAACAAAGAAAAUUGAUAGAAAAAUUGACGGAGGUCCGACAUUGUUACGAAUUCGUAAAAUAAGGUAUGCCAUUGCAAUGUUUAAAAACUGAUGUGGGAGAUUGUAGUAUGACCCAAAGUUAAGGUAGCUUAGUGUAAUUUACCCAAAAAAUAAUUGACUUGGAAUUAGAAUACAAAAUGAAAUGGGAAUGGGUACUUUUAUACCCAAAGUUAAGGUAACUUAGUGUAAUUUACCCAAAAAAUAAUUGACUCCGAGUUAAAAUACGGAAUUGAAUAGGGUACUUUUAUACCCAAAGUUGAAGUACGAUAUUGUUCUUGAUAAACUAACAAAUAAGAGUAAAUUACAUUUUACUCCCUCAGGUUUGGAGUCUAUUGCAACCUCAUACAAUAUCUUUAAAACAUUUCAAUUUCAUACAUCCGUUAGAAAAUCCGUUAAGUAAACCGUUAAGUGAUGACGUGGCAAAUAUGGGAUCCACAUUUGUGUUGACGUGGCUGCCAAAUUUGUGCCAUGUGACAAAAAAUAAUAAUUUUUUAUGCAUUUAAAAGAUAAUAAUUUACCCUAAAAUAAUUUUUUAUGCAUUUAAAAGAUAAUAAUUUACCCUAAAAUAAUCAAUCAGAUUCAAUUUGACAAGGAAAACAAAAAAUACAGGGUGGAAAAGGUGUUGGUAUUCAGACCAUCUUCGUAUAAAUCAAAAUAAGAAUAAAAAGAUGAGAAAAAAGAUGGUGAUUUGAUUUAAAGGCAGCAACCGCAUAAUAAAAGAAACACAGAGCAGAGAGAGCUUUUGCACGAAGAGGUCGUUUGUGAUUCAAUUUAAGAUCGAGUUUAUAAAUAUAUUGAAAAAUAAAUAAAGUAUAUUUAGUAAUUGAUCCUUAUUUGUUAAGAAAAUUAAAUUAAUAGUACAUCUAAUAUUGUACCCUUUUUGAUUAUUUUAUACAGUCACAGCUGUUUUACAUAAAAAUUUACUAAACACUAUAACACCGCUUUAUUUGCUAAAAUCAUUUUUAUUAAAAAGUUUAUCAAACACUCUACUACUCUAUUUCAUAGUUAUUUAUUCUCACACUACAUCAAAAACAGUUUUUUUCAAAGCAUAUUAAUACCAAACUAGCCCGUAGUCACCCACAUUACAUAAAUACAUCUUGCAUCUGGGCCUUUGUGGGCCGUAUGUAUGACUGUCAGUUUUAGACUUUGGAUUGGUGCAAAAUGAAUGCUCCUAUGCAAGUGGUAAAUUAUCCUGGUGUUUAGAGUCUUUCUCCUCAACUUACUGUGCUUCAAAUUUAAACCCUCAUUCCUCUCUUAAUGCAGAUUAGUGUAGAUAUAUAAAAUAAAAAUUAUAAAAAUGGAUCCUCCUACUAGCCCAAAUUGUUCGCCACUUACAAGUAUGCUCUUUUGGGUUUCUAAAUUCCAAUCACAAAUGGGUGUCCAUACAUAAUUAGCCCAUUAAACAAACAAAGCCUCAAAUUUGUGCUGGCUGGCGAGGGUAGCUUUACCUAUGUAAAAGAGGAUGCUCCCAACUGGCUAAAGGGUUUAGAAAACAACUCAUUGAAGCCUACCAAGGGGAAUGAUAAUGAAUUUGGGCCUUUGGGCCAUUUCACUAUGGUAUGGUUCAGUGGUUAGAGAGGUUGAAAUAACUUUGUGAGUUUUUCUAAACGGCGGAAGUGUGGACUACCGUAGCGAAAUCACCAGCUGGUGCCUUUGUGAGUUUUUCUGGCCCGCGGAAGUGUGGAUUGCCAUGGUGAAAUCACCCGCUGGUACCGAUUAUCUUUCUUCAACCAGUCACUCAUGCAAAAUGAAGAUGCGGGAGAGAAUUUCCAUCAUCGUAGAUGUCUUUUUCACAGGUCUGUCAUUACGUGAGAGCAAUGAUAACACAGUUAACCAAAUAUAAUUCUUUCACCAUCUAUAUUUGAUGAAGGUGAGUACUCCACAAUGAAUUCUUUCACCGUCUAUAUUUACUUUUCAAGUUCUCAGCCACUAUCUAUCUAUAUAUGUUACUUUCAACUUCAACUCUUUGGUAAUAUAAUAUGGUGCCAUAUCAGCGCCACCUGAAACCCUACUAGUUAAAAACAUUUGUUUAUGUGCAACUUUUGUUCUUACAUAUUAUUAAACUCCAAAUUUGGUUCACAAACAUACAAAUAUACUAAACUCCAAGAAUACUUGGUAAACGAGUUUGACCUUAAAAGUUUUAAGUCCAAAUUCAUUGUACUUUCAAGGUAGCGGAAUAACGUCUGUAACACUAAAUCAGUGGCGUGGUAUGGCCUUAUAACACCACAAUUGAGAGAUGUAAAAUAUGCAUCUUUGGGCAUAAAAUGAAAUAAAAACUUAAAUUUAUAUAUUUUUUUACAUCUUUUGAUGGUGGGUUUUUUGUGUCUUUGUUUUUUUACAUUUUUUUGUGGUGGAUCCUGCCACUCCAGUACCGAAAAUUAAAUGACAUCUCAAAAGUACAUAAUUUCCAUUAGAGUAGAUAUCUGAUUUACUUUCUAUGAAAACAUAAAAGAAAAUGUAAAUAUAACUCUUGCGUUUCUAAUUGGAUGGUGCUCCAUACACCAAACUCAUGCAAAAAAUCUAUACACCAAAUGAUGUGGCACAUUCUACAAUUUUUAAACUUUUAUUAAAAUUAUUAAACAAAUUCUAACUUAAAUUGAACUAUAAAUUUAAUUGGUUUGAUGCAAAAAUUUAGUAUGUCUGACGUUAUUCUUUCAAAUUUGCAUCUCCUCGUUGAAGUUGCUCUUAAAGCUACUAAAUUUGAUCACACAAUCAAGAGAUUCAAGAUAAUGACAUCUUAAUAUAGAUCUCGUAGUUGUUCAAUCUCCUUUAAAAAAUAAAACGGAGAGACAUUAUUGUUUUAGACUUUUGGUAAAAAAAAGAUAACAAUUCCAUUUAGUUAUUAGUUGGGAUCAAAUAUGUAUUUGUAUUUGAUUUGUAUGUUUCAUAGGAGUUGACCCUCUCAAUUUCUAAUUUAUUGAGAUUUUACCCAAUGAAUAAAAGAUUUAUUAUAUUUUUCAUUUUUGUUACAAUACACAAUGAUUAAGUUAGAUACUAUAAUUGAACUAGGAUAACUCGAUCCCAUUGAAAUAGGAAAAAUAAUAAACUGGGGCAAUUGAGUGAGCAGAAAAUAAUGGGGCCAUUCUCAGUAUAUAAUAGAGAUGUUCAAUGUAUCUAUAACACAUGGCGGUAUGCCACAUGUUAUCAUAUAAGAGGAGGGAUUUUUUUUUUCAAGUAUCUCUCUAUUUGUAUAAUGUCAUAUGACGUAUGUGCCUAUGUUCCGGACUUAAUGAAAAAUCUCUCAUAAUAAUUUAAGGAUUCAGUAGUUGUGUUCUUUUCCUUCAAGCAUUGUGCCCUCAUGGGUGAGUUGAUCAAUUUAAAGCAUUCUUAUUAUUGUUUCUGAUAAACCCUAAACAUAUUUUUAGGAAAACGUAAAUAAUUUACAUUACGAAAAAACGCUUGUAAUAAGAAACGUUCAAUUUUUCGUUCUCUUGCUAUAACUAAGUGAUCUCUAAGUGAUCUCACCUUUAUUGUAUGAUAUCACUCAGCACUCAGAGAUGCCGCUGAAGUUAUAAGCCUCGAGCAGUAAAUAUGCGAGAAACAUGAGUGGUAUAGAGAUCGAAUUACUCUUCACUUGUGGCACACAAAUUGCAUUUUCCAUCCUUAAACUAAAAGAUAGUUGAAAUUAACACUCAAACACUAACAAAACCACCACCAACCUGCCUUCUUAACCUUCCAGGAUAAGAAAAAUCAUGGCCAUAAAAGCUGCCCUCUUAACCUUCAGGUAUUGUUUGGUAUGUGGGACAAAGUGUUCCGUCCCACGUUUGGUGCGCUAAAAAUAGUGGAACAUGCUGUCUUGCGGAACGAAAUUUGGUUACUUUUUCGUUUCACUUUCCUCCCUGGAAUGACUUGUUCCACGCCCAUAGAACACAAAAUUAUAAUUUUUUUGGACAAUAAUACCCCUCGUAUUUUUCAUUAAUUCCACUAUCUACCCUCCCUCUCUCUCCCGUAGCAUCCCUCUCUUCUACCUUCCCUCUAUCCUGUAGCCUCCUCCUCCUCCUCCUCCACCACAAACCCAGCUGCAUCUUCCUCGACCUCAACGCUGGGGAGUUCGCGGCGGUUCCUCUUCAUCGAUUUUUUUUUUGCAAAAAUAGGAAUUAAAAAUGUUAAUUAGGAAAAAAAUAAAUAAUUAGUUGGAAGGGAUCGAUGCAGGAGGAGUUGUGGUUGUGAUUGCCUUGGCAGCGCCAACAGCUUCGGCCCACCACUAGCUCAUGAUCUUGGAUUUGGAAUUCUCUGAGAAAUUGUAAAUUACUUUCACAAAUUUUUUGAUUGGAUUUCUAACUUGGAGUCAUCGAUUUACAACAUUUCUGCGCCAUAUACCCAGAAAACAAAAUCUCAAUCUGCAGGACAAAAAGAUCUUUGCUUAUUUGCUGUUAGGUUUGAAAAUCUUAGUGAGAUAGAGAUUUUGGGAAACUUUUGUUUUGUUGGGGUUUGCUAGAUCAACAAAAUAAAGAUUGAAAGUCUUUUCAAAACGGGUAAUGGGGAAGAAGACCAGGGAAGAAGAAGAUGAACAGUUCAUCUUCUUAUUUUUCUCUUUUAUUUUUUAAGUUUUAAUUAUAUAAAAAUAAAAAUUAUUUUUAUUAUUAAAUAUUUUAAAUCUACAUAGAAAUAUUUAAUUAGAUUUAUGAGACCUACUUAGAUUUUAGAUUGGUGCUUUUGACGUAGUUUUCAACUGAUGAUUAUUUAUUCAAAAAACUGAUGCUUCAGUUCAUUUUACCAUUUAAUCAUACCCUUAAAUUGAAUAUGAACAAGUUAAAAAAAAAACCGUUCCUUUUCGUUCCACGUUUAAACAUUGUACCAAACAACAGGCGGAACAAGGGUAAAUUAGUCAUUUAAACUUUUGGUUCUGUACCGUCAUACACUUACCAAACGCAGAACGGAACAAUUGUCCCAUUCCGUCCUGCGCGUACCAAACAUAAGGUUUCGUUUCAUCCCAUUCCGUCCCGUUCCGUCUCGUCCCGUCUGCAUACCAAACGGUAAGAAUAAGAAAAAUCAUGGCCAUAAGAGCAUUUCCACCCAUUGUCUUUGGGCAAGGCCAAGGGCGGGUUCCAGCGGUCCAAAUCCAAGAGGGCAAGUGGUGGGCCAAGCCAUGCUACCCAACUACCCAUGCAAUUUAAUCUUGGCCUUACGCCAGUAGGCAUGGCUGAUGUUAGUCACGUUUGGUUUUUUUAUUGUGUCUAGCGUGUGUAUUACACACGCAAGGGAGGAGAGUGGGCUGACAACAUCUGUUGUCGUGGGGCCUGUUGCAGUAGCUCUAACAGAAGAGCCUAACGACUUUAUGACGCAGCCUAAUGAUAAUUGUUGGAUUUCCAACGACUUGAUGAUCUAGACCGUUGGAUUUUCAAUGGUAAAAAAUAAUUAAAAAACUCGUUCUGCCAUGUGGCACGUUCUGGUACGUUGGAUUCAACAAUAAGAAAAAUAAAAACACUAGGAUUAAUUCAAUCAGUAAAAAUAAGAAAAAAAGGAAUAUUUAUAAUUUUUUUUAUUUUAUAAAUGCCCAACCAUCUUAUUCAUUCGCUUUUAUUUUUAAUUAAGGGUAAAUUACAUAAAACUACCUCAACUAUGGGUCAAACCACAAUCUCAUACCUUAUAUUUCAAACAUUGUAAUGUCAUACCUUAACUUAUGAAUUCGUUACAAUGUCAGACCUCCGUUAAAAUUUCUGUCAAUUUGGCUGUGAACUGCUGAUGUGACAGGUAAAGGACCCACUCACUCACCAACUGGAAUUAAAAAUAAAAAAUUAUUAAAUUAUUAAUUUUUUAUUAAAUGUAAAAUUAAUUUAAAAAAAAAAAAACACUAUCUCCUUCCUAUUGGUCCCCUUCAUUUCCUCAUCUUCAUCCUCCUAUUUCCUAACCCAAAUCCUAGUUGUAGAACCCAUUUCUUCUUCCGAGCCCAAACCCCUAAGCAACAGUAGCAACUUGAAUACGAUUUCCAAAAUUUCCUCCUCGACGACGCUGCGCUAGCAAGCGGUGGAUCCUAUGUCAACCUGUUUGGACCCAAAAUGUUAUUUUGGGCCGAGCUCAAAAAUAUUCUUGGCCCAAUGGUUUUUAUUUAAAGUCUUGUCAUGGGCUGGCCCUGUCGAGGUUGGCUGAAUCCUGCUACAAAAAGGAUUAUUUCGGAUAAAGGUGAAGUAGUCGAAUCCUGGUAUAAUAAGGAAUCUCAAAGCUAAAGUACUAGGGAUUAAGAGAUGAACCAGGUUUGUUAGAAGGUUUGGUUUAAAGUCCUAUGAAGAUUAGGAUUGGUCGAAGUUUGAUCGGACUGGGUUGAGGAGUCCUAAUCUGAGUAUAUCUUUAGUUUGGCCAGAAGCAGGCUUGAUGCUAUAAAUACAAGACACCGCGCAAAUUCUCGCUCUCUCCAAUUCACACACAAACUGCCCUGUGCAAACUCUCGCUCUACGCGAAACCUCUCAACAACCUUGACAUUUUUAUUUUCUUUUUCCCGCCGACACAUAUUCAGUUUGGAUAAACAACACUGUGAAGGCAACUGGCGACAUCUUCAGUUUCGAUAAACAUCACUGGAGCCGUAGAAUCAGCUGAUCAGGGAGCACCUUUAGUUUGGAUAAACAACACUAUUUCUCAGCCGAUUGAUUACCUAUCUAAGUCUCGGUCGACAAGGAUUUUCGAGUCCUUAGUAGAGGUCAUCUCAUCAGCCUUCUCAGCGAAGUGAGGUGUUACCAAGUUAUUACAUUCGGCACAUUGAAAACCGAAUUUGAUAUUGAACUUCUCAAAACUAGCAGCCUUGUCUUCAGGCUCUAGAACCUGAAGGCUGAGACAUGUUCCUUCCUUGGCCGCAGUCGCAAGAUCAAGAAGUCAGUAGCGCACCCAACGCAACAUCAACACAUUUUACUCAUCGGUUGAGCUCGGCCGUCGAGUUGGCACGCCCCGCACACAACUGAAUAACGUAGUUAGCUUAUUAAUUACUCGGCCUGUACGCCACGUAGGCUUGAUAGUUUUUAGGGUCAACAUUUUAGCACGCCCAGUGGGACCUAGUGUUAAAGGGAGGAUAAUAGAGGAUUGAUAUGUUCAAUGAUGACAUACUUGGAAUUCGUCGUCUGAUAAGGCCUUUGGGCCAAAGAAAUAUUUGAAGAUUCCUUCGGCCGAGUGAGCAGAAAGAGGGAGGGAAGCCAGUUCCAGGUCCAUUGCCUUAGAAGGGUUGAAGCUUGAGACCUCUGACUGCAAUGUCGAGAAAUAUACCUGCAACUAGAGUUAGAAGACCUAGAGCUGGCCGUUUUGAUGGGGGUCGAUCUUCUUCACAGAAGUAUCUGCUAAACACCAAUUGAGAUUAGCAAGGAUGGCCGGGCUGAGAGCCAAGACAUGACUGCUGGCCAGGGUUUCGACAACUGACAUGUUCGAUUUGACAUAGAAAAUAUACUUGUUGUACCAAUAGAAUAAGAAGGCCUUAUGUUCCCCCUUCUUGAGAGCUUCAUUUUUUAAGCCGGCGAAGUGGGUAAUCAGGGUGUUAUAGUUAAAGAAGUUCUUGUGCAGCUUCUACGCGUCUUCUUUCGACGACCUUUGAUCUCCUUGCAUCAAGGCUUCUACGGAGCGAUCUUCGAAGAUGGUUUUCAAGUCCAGGUUGAAUUUGUACCUGGAGAGUGCAAUAUCGAUUGGGAGGCUUGUUGGAGAAGUGCCAAGUAUGGUCGUGAUGUCUAACACCGUUGGACUAGGGAGGUCGAAGGGAAUAACCAUCAUGUUGGCCGAGCACCAAAAGCUUAUAGUAGCCAUCACAAGUUUUCGGUCCAAAUUCAUCUCUAUGGUUGAGAGUUUGAUGGCAUAAAAAGUGCCAAGAGACAUCCAUUUGUCUCCAAAGUAGUUGAGGGCCAGACACCUUGAGGUUUAGCCGAUUCCCAUUUUGACCAAUCGUACCUUUGGAACAAGGGUUUCAAGCAGUGUGCCUUCUGCAUUUUGAUGAUAGUUUAUGGUAGGGCUGGUUCGGGUCGGGAUCCUGAAUAGAAACCUCUAACCCGAAUCCCAAACUAAAACAUUUCAGAAUGGGAUUUUAUAUCCCAAAACUGAACCGAAACUAUUCAUUUCCCGAAAGUGUUUCAGGAUUUUCAGGUCACUUUAGGAAAACUUUACUAUGGUCUACUUCAUUCUACAAAAUUUUUGUUUUAGAUAUUCCUCAAGUCGUUUGAAUAUUGGUGAGAAUGCUCCUGCAAUUAACAUAGAACCAUAUCUUAUACAUUUUCUAUUGCAAAACAUUUGGAGAGAAGAUACUUUGACAAAACACAUAGAACCAUAUCCUGCAUGUAGGUCCUGCACUUACCUACCAUAAUUUGAAACCCACAGUCUUUAAACCCUCACACAUUCGACAAAAUACUUAGAAAUCAAGUUAAUCAACAUGAAAUUUGACCUUAAACACUAAUGAACAAAACCUCAGUGAAAAUCAGAAACCCUUACCUGGAUUUUGGGACUCGAUUGGUGUCGAAUUUGAGUCUUAUUUCCUGCGUCUGCGUGAGUCGAUGGAAGACGAUGAGUGGCGUGGAUUCGAUGGAGGAGCGGAGCGGCGGGAGCAAGAGUGGUAGGAAUGUGGGUGAGACUGUGAGAGUGUCUGAGUGUAAGUAAGACUGAGAGAAACUGAGAGAGUGAGUGAGAGUGACUGAGAGAGAGUCUGAGAGACCUAACAAAUGAACUAACUCAAUGGACGGUUGGAUUAGAUCUUAACAAAUCCAACGAUUCAAGUAAUUUCUAAUUAAAAAUUAAAAAUAAAUAAAUAAAUAUAUAUAUAUAUAUAUAUAUAUAUAUAUAUAUAUAUAAUAUUUGGUUCGGUUUGGGAUUACCGAACGCUUUCAAAGCUGUGGCCAAAUCCUAAACCGAAACUUUCAGGAUAGGUUCAGUUUCGUGUACUGAAUUUUUCGGGAAAUUCAGUUCGGGCAUUUUUCAUUCAAAUUUCUAGACGAGUUUGGGAUGGUUCGAGAUUUUCAGGAAAAAAAUUCACCCUUAGUUUAUGGGACAUCAUCCUUGAAAAGUGGGCCGAGAGUUUGAUGGAGAACGUUUGGUUCAUCCUUGAAUCGGAUGGUUUUGAUGGUAUUCCCAUCAGUGAUGCUUUAGCACUUGUUGCAUUCCUCGACGAACUUAGUAAUAAAUUUAUUGGCAGCCAUUGAGGGUGAAGGUUUUCUGGGAUUGAAAAUAUGGUUUCUUUUCUGAGUUUGAAGGCAAUUGGUAGGAGAUUCGAGAAUUUUGAGAGCGUAAAAUUCGAAUGAAGGAGAGUUGAGUAUUUAUAGGCAUUUUGGGAGGAAGAUCAACAAUUUAGUUUUAAAAAUGCGGGAUAAAAUCAAUCGGAGGAUUUUGUAAUCAUGAUGAAUAUUCAAAGAAUCCAGGUGAAGAAACUGAAGAACUCGUGGAUUGAGGAUGCACAUUUGCAUAUGACGGCGAAUUUAAUGGCAAAGAGACGUUUUGAUGGUUGCACAUUUCGAAUGUCAUUAUUAAAUGCAGACGAGUAAGCUGAGAAAUUGCCACAUGGCGGAGCAUCUGACAAAAUUAAGAUUGUGCAAUCAUGCUUCAUAAAUGCACUUGAGUGGAUAAAAUAUUCGAGCCCUUUCGUUGUCUUUCAAAGAUAUACUAAGGGCUUGAUUUCACUUCUUCAAGGUUGAGACUAGGCCAGAAGUUUUAGGCCGAAGACCUCAGAAGCGAGGGGACAGUGUUUGGACCCAAAAUGUUAUUUUGGGCCGAGCUCAAAAAUAUUCUUGGCCCAAUGGUGUAUAUUUAAAGUCUUGCAUUGGGCCGGCCCUGUCGAGGUUGGCCAAAUCCUGCUACAAAGAGGAUUAUUUUGGAUAAAGGUGAACUAGUCAAAUCCUGGUAUAAUAAGGAGUCUCAAAGCUAAAGUACUAGGGAUUGGGAGAUGAACUUGGUUUGUUUGAAGGUUUGGUUCAGAGUCCUAUGGAGAUUAAGAUCGGUCCAAGUUUAAUCGGAUUGGGUUUAGGAGUCCUAAUCCGAGUAUAUCUCUAGUUUGGCCAGAAGCAGGCUCGUUGCUAUAAAUACAAGACAUCGUGAAAAUUCUCGCUUUCCCCAAUUCAACACACAAACUGCCUUGCGCAAACUCUCGCUCUACGUCAAAGCUUUCAACAACCUUGAGAUUUUUAUUUUCUUUUUCCCGUCGACACAUCUUUAGUUUGGAUAAACAGCAUUGUGAAGGUAACUGAUGACAUCUUUAAUUUGGAUAAACAGUAUUGGAGCCGUAGAAUCAGCCGAUCAAGGAGCACCUUUAGUUUGGAUAAACAGCAUUGCUUCUCGGCCGACUGAUUACCUAUCCAAGUCUCGGUCUAUAAGGAUUUUCGAGUCCUUGUUUGUAUAGGUCAUCUCAUCAGCCUUCUUGGUAAAGUAAGGUCUUACUAGGUUACUACAUUCAGCACAUUUAAAGCUAAAUCUGAAAUUGAAUUUCGCAAAACUAGCAACCUUGUCUUCAGGCUCUAGAACCCGAAGGUUGAGACGUGUUCCUUCCUCGGUCGCAGUUGUAAGAUCAAGAAGUCAAUAGUGCGCUUAAGACAACAUCAACACAUUUCACUCCCCGCCCGAGCUCGGUUGACGAGUUGGCAUGCCCCGUACACAACCGAAGGACGUAGUUAGUUUAUUAAUUACUCGGCCUGCGUGCCAUGUAGGCUUAGUAAUUUUUAGGGUCAACACAACCUUACAAGGUCGUCCAUCUCAAGCUCCGAUCUUCUCCUCGCAUAAAACCCUUUAAAUUUGGAAUCUUAGCAACCAGCCAUUAUUUUCCACCAAAUUGGCAUUCUCGAUAACGCCUGGCAGAGGCGAUUACCUCUUGGUCGUCUUUGCUCCCAGAGAUUUGGGGUUUAGAUUAUCGGAUAAGGGCCCAUUUGGGAUUAACGGUGAUAAUCAGUUUGUGGGUAUUGAAUUUGAUACUGAAAUUGAAUGGAGAUAGGAAAAGGAGAUGAGAAUGAAGGGACGAACAAUAAGGAGGGAGAGUUUUUUUUUCUCCUUAAUUAAAUAUUUUUCAAAUACAAAAUUAAUAAUUUUUUAUUCCAGUUGACAAAGGAGUGGACUCCACUCCUACCACUUCAUCAUUUAACAGCCAAAUUGACAAAAAAUUUAACGAAUGUCUGACAUUGCAACGAAUACAUAAGUUAAGGUAUGACAUUGUAAUGUUUAAAACAUGAGGAAUGCGAAUGUAGUUCUCCCUAAAGUUGAGGUAGUUUUGUGUAAUUUACCCUUUGAUUAAUUAGCUUGUUGUAAUGCUAUGUUUUGCUUUGUAUUUGAAAUUAAAUUAUUGGAGUUAAAUAAGGAAUUUUAUUUUUAAAGAACAAAGAUACAAAGUUCACACUAAAACACACUUACAAGGAAUAAAAAUAUAUAUUUGUUAUUAGUAAUCGCCUUUACGCUUACCCAACGGAUGGAGUUACACAAAGACAAUUACUUUUGAGAGCGACAAUUACAUGUUAUUACCCUUGCCCUCCUCCAACGGGUGGAAUGGCUCUAAGGGCUGCUAUCCAAUAAAUAUGUUUGAUCAUACACAUUUCUGCGUAACCUCAUAAAGUUUGUACCAUAAUUGAACCAUCUCUCCAUCCAUAAUCUGAUUGAUGGCAAGUUAUGCUAUUUUCUAGUGAAACAUUACCAUGAAUAUUUGUCCACAUGUCUUGCACCACUCUUUAUAAGAUGUAAGGACACCGUGAUCAUUGUGAUGGGCAUAUGGUUCCCGUGUGUUGAAUAUUGGACAUUUCCUUUAGAAUAAGAAGCAAAAAAGGAAAAUAUAUUGUCACGUUUGAGCUAACUAUGUAUAUUUAUGAUUUUGUUCGUACUAUUACUUAGAGUGAUUAUGAUGGUGUUUAGUGGAGACAUAUAUUAACCACACCUAAUAGGAAAAUGACAUGUGCACAAUAUGCUCAAUGUGAUGGUUUUACUCUUGACGUCGUGGGUAGACAACAACAUUACCUAAAGGGAAUAAGACGUCAUAUGCCUAAGGAUUAUGAAAUUUUAUGCCCACUAAUUGACCAUGGGCUUUCCCACCUGCCCAUAAUACGACGUACCAUAGGGACAUAACCAGUUCAGUGAUGGCAAAGCACCGACUCUCCAAAGUGUGCCCUUGAGUAUCCAAUGCAUAUGCGUUUACCAACAUGGACCUUUAAGACUACUAGCUAGCAGGAUUGCAGAGACUAACUUGCAUCAUUAAUGACUGCCUAGUAUGCUCUGUAACCUCCCCUCCCAACUGCAUGCUAGGUUUUUUUUUUCCUAUAAAUAAUCAGGUCAAACAGACAAAAUGGUAAUCGUCACUUACUACUCAGAACUCUCCAAAGUUCUAUUUUUCUCUCCACUACUUUUCUGACUUACGCAUUAGAGGCCUUUUGGCAAAUACCCUCCCCAUUUUUUCUGGAUGUUAGGCUAACAUUGUUUCUUCUCUUGUAAGUGAAAUUUUGUCAAAUCAGCCAUGUACGAAAUUUGCAUCCAUAAUUGGUGCUUGCAUUAUGAAAAAAAUUGAGUAAUACUCAAUGCGUGCUUGGAUAUCUGAGUGAAGAAAGUAAAUUCCAAAAUCUUUCUUUAGUGUUCUUCUUUCUUCGUUCAUUGUUAAUCAUCGAUCACGGCCCCAAACGUGAAUGCAUCAUUUUCAUCAAUCAUAGCCCCCCGCAAACUUUUUAUCCGAUGACUAUGUCGCCACGAAUUGGGAUUAUCGUAACUUCAUCGAGGCCUGAAAUCAUCACCACGGUUGUGGUUGCGACGCCGUGCCAUAGCCACGCCCGUGGAGCAACAGUAACAGUAGCAAAGUCAGCAGGCGGGGCGGUGCGGCCCUACCAUGUUCUGCUAACUCUCGCCGAAUAGCCACCGCCAGUCGGCAGCCACCCUACCGAAAUGUUGGCAUUGGUUCAGCCGCCUCCUAUUGAAUGACGCUAAACACACAACACCCCAUCCCCUACCCUUCCCUCCCUCGAUGGCAGUCCCAAUUUGAAUCAAUUCCGCAGCUCGAGCUGGUUAAUCAACUAUAUUCAUAAUUGUAUUCUAUUUUACAAUAUAGAAUACUAGAUUUUAAUCCUUAAAUAAGAUGAAGCUUAGAAAAAUGUACAAGAUUAAAAAUUGAUUUUAGUCCCUAGACUCUAUUUAAUGCCAACAUAUGUAUUCAAUGUCUCUCUUUUUUAUUUAUAUUUUUAUGGUGUUCAUAAAUUAAAUUUUAUGAAAAUAUUAUAAGUUUUAAUUCUCAUUAUGGUAGGCAUCUUAUAUAAUAAAAUAUUUUCGUAGAGAUUUUUCGGACACUUAUGUUUUUGCAUUUUUUCUUAUGUGUCACUAAUUCAUUGCAAUAUAUUUAGGUACGAACAUUUUGGUAAACUAGGUUAGUAUAAUAUGUUUAGGUACGGACAUUUUGAUACACUAGUUUAAUAUAAUAUAUUUAUGAGUAAACUGUCGAUUUGCCCCCUAAACUUUUACCUAGCUUUCGAUUUCCUCCCUGAACUUUUCGAUUGGAAAAUUAAGGACUCAAACUAAUUUUUUAGCCAAUUUGCCCCUACCGUUAGUUUUUCAAACAUUCCAUCCAUAUUUCUGUUAAGUGAGACCAUGUGCACAACAUGUGAGGGUAGUUAAGUCAUUUCACUCUUAAAAAUGAUUAAAAAACUGAAAAUAAUUUUUUUUUAAAAAACUUUCCCUCUAUUUUUUUCCCUCUAAUUUGUAUCCUCAAUUUUAUUUUUCACUCACUCCUAUGCAUGAGAAAUGACAUACGAUGUUAUUGUCUUCAAAAGUAUCUAAGUUAGUCUUUUUCUUGAAGCAUGUACUACCAUUUUUAUUUUCUCUAACAAAUUAAUAAUUUGACAAAUGCUCAUGGUGUUAAAUGUGCAAGAAUGCAGUUGAAAUAUCCAUCAUUUGAUUCUAGGUUGAGUUGUGCACUUUCUUCUCUUUUGUAGUAAUUAAUUUAUUAUUUGAAAACAUUGUACUUUGAGGAGGCAAGCAAAGCUUUGUGGAACUGUGUGGGUAUGAUAUGCUUUUUUUUUUUUUUUUUUUUUUUUUUUUGUGAUUUGGUUGGAUACUAUUGCUAGAAAAUUGGAGGAAUAGUUAGGAUUAGUGCAGUUAGCCGAUCUUUGGAGUUUUGAUGUUGGUGAUUGGAGUAGUUUUUUUCUUUGACUUGUUGUAGUUUUUACUAAAUGGCGGACAUGUUAACUGUUGGAAACUAUUUUUUUAACUCUUCUAACUCUUCUACUAGUAAAGUCUUAAUGUCUCUAAAAUGAAGCGCAACACGUAACAUGCUUAUAUUAAUGCACUGCUUUGGAGACAAUAACACCAUGAGCAUUUUGUCAAAUUAUUAAUUUCUUAAAGAAAAUAAAACCAUAUGUCAUUUCUCAUGCAUAGGAAUAAGUGAAAAAUAAAAUUGAGAAUAGGAAUUAGAGGGAAAAAAUAGAGGGAAAGUUAAAAAAAAAAAUAUAUUUUCAGUUUUUUAAUCAUUUUUAAGAGUGAAAUGACUUAACUACCCUCACAUGUUGUGCACAUGGUCUCACUUAACAGAAAUAUGGAUGGAAUGUUUGAAAAACUAACGGUAGGGGGCAAAUUGGCUAAAAAAAUUAGUUUGAGUCCUUAAUUUUCCAAUCGAAAAGUUCAAGGGGAAAUCGAAAACUAGGUGAAAGUUUAGGGGGCAAAUCGACAGUUUACUCAUAUAUUUAUAUACCAACAUUUCGUUACGUUAGUUUAGUAUCAUAUAUUUUGGUACGGAAUUUUUGGUACACUUAUAUUUUUGCAUAUUUUCUUAUGUGCCACUAAUUCACUACAAUAUAUUUAGAUAUGGACAUUUCGGUACACUGAUUAGUAAAAUAUAUUAUGAUAUAGACGUUUAAGUACACUAAUUAGAUGAAGUUAAAUAAAAUUUGUUGAUGCACAAAAUCAGCGAAGACUUUGGUACAACAGAAAGUGUCAGGUUUUGUGACCUUCGCUUGGUUGCUUGGUUGCUUCAGUCACUAGUGAGGAUAAGUACGUAAAUGAAUAGAGACAGAGAAGCAAACACAGGAUGUACGUGGUUCACCCAGAUUGGCUACGUCCACGGAGUAGAGGAGUUCUUAUUAGUAGUGAAGGGCUUACACAAGUACAAAGGAUCAAGCUCUCAAUUUAGUGAGUUCUUGUGAAUGAUUUAACACAAAAUGGCAUUAGGCAAUAUUGUGGGGGAAUGACCCCUAUUUAUAGAAAAACUUGUAGCUUUGUCACAUUGACAUGUGUCAUGUUAUGAUUGGUUCUUGAUGUCGACACGUGCUGCGCUCUGAUUGGCUUCUAAUCUUGACACGUGUCGAGUAGUGAUUGGCCUCCUGGUCGGAGGGGAACUCUUCUGGGUCCUUGACAAUAUAGCGUUGGCCGGUGCUCGGUAGUUUCGGGAUUGGUCAAGUAUGGUACAAACAGUGCUCCCCUAAGUUCCCGAGUGAGGGAAACUCCUCGGUUGGGGACUUGCAAGAUCUAAUCCCUUGAGUAAUCACGAAACUUCUAAGUACCGAAGUGUGGUCUGAUCUUCAUAUGCCCUUCUCUGGAAGUACCUUUCCUCCAUCCGGGAAUGGUGUACUUAGCUGAUGUUGACGCACAAGGUAAUGUAUCAAUUUCACUUGAAGCUUAGUUGUAGUUUCGGGCUUAGUCAAGUGUGAUACAAACCCUAUAGUAGGAGUCCCCCAAGUCGCCGAGCUAGGAGAUCUGCCGAAAGAGGUGACAGACAAGGUAAGCAGUCAAACUUCCAAGUAAGCAACCCAGGAUCAGAGGUUUGACUUUGGCUUCCGGUUGAUUGUUCUCCUUCUCCUUGUCUCUCAUUCAACUGCCAGGAUAAGGAGAAGCAAAUGGAUAAGAGAUGAUAUGAGAUACUUUUGCUUUUGAAGAAGUAACUUUCCACAGACUUAUUCUUGAACUGUGCUGGAGGGUUUUCUGGUGCCCUUCAGAGUAUAAGGCCGACUCAAAAAUUUGAGGGUCAAAACAAGUCCAUCAAAUCUAGAGUACGUUCGACCUUGAUGAUAUGGGAUACUUUUGCUGUUGACGGAAUAAUGAAUGUGGUAUGGAAAGGUGUCGUGCUGUAGUGAUCUGUUUCAGCCCACCGUUGAACCUUCUGCUUCAAUCUUUUGCAUGGCAGAAGUGGUGUGCAACCUUUGCAUUUAAAUGGUCCUUCAGAACAUUCCUUCGUAGUGACUCAUCCCCGCUUGGCAGCUUCAGUGUAAAGAGCCAAUAUCCGAUCAACUGUCAUGAGGUAUUUGCCGGUGGAAUUCGUGACCUUGACAGCAGUUGAGGAUGAGUACUCGAGAGCAAUGCUAAGUAAGCAACCAGGCAAAGGCUCCAGGCAGUCAGUUCCAAAUUGGAGGUUUGAUUUCAGGUUCCGACUGACUGCUCUCUUUCUCCUUGUCCUGCAGGUGUGGACAAGGACAAAGACAAAGAUAGGGAGAAAGCAUGAUAUGGGAUACUCUUGCUUUCGACCCUGAUGAUAUGAGAUACUCUUGUUCUUGGUGUGGCUUAUUUGCUGAGGUAUUAUCGGGGGGAAAUAAAGCUGAGUAUUUCGAGAGGUUAUGUUGAGGGUGCCUUUUCGAAUGCGAGAAAGGGUUGAGCAUUUUUGCAGGUUUGCCUGUCCGUUGAGGAGGGAGGUCAAUGUAUAUAGGGAUUUCCCAAUAACAAGUAGUAAUGCUAUUCCUUUACCCUUCUUGGUCACAACAAUGUAGUGGGAGCUGCCAGCUUCACGUGUUUUAAUUUUGUCAGAGCACUUUGAAAAAAUGGUAUGUGGUAUCUGGAAAGCUGAUGUUACGUGUGAAGAUUACAGACAAGCUUUAUCUAAGGAAAUCUGGCUCUCGAAGUUCUGAGAGUUGUGCCUCUUCGGUUUUCGAACAAGCAAUCCCGUCGAGGAUCUGACUCUCGAGAUUCGGAAAGCGGUGCUACUACUCCGGUUUUUGAGAAAGUAAUUAUGUUGGGAGUCUUUUCUCGAAUGUGAGUAAAGGUUGGACGUUCUUGCCAACCUGUCUUGCCGCAAAACACGGAGGUCGACACACAUAGGGACUUUCCAGUUGUCAAGCAGUGGUGCUGUUCCUUUACCCUUAUGGGUAAUAGUAGGGUAGCUGGAACUUCGAAAUUCUCGUGCCUAAACUUUGUCAGAGAUCUUUGACAAAGUUAUAUGUGGUACCCGAGGAGUUGAUGGUGCAUAUGGAGAGCGGUGAUUGAACAGUAAGAUUCACGUGCUUUCUCUACUUCACCAGAAAUCUUCGACAGAUUGCCCGUAAUUUCCGCAAAGCUGAGUGUGCAUGUGACAGGUGCUGACGAGGCUGAAAAAGCAGGUGCUUCUUCGAUUUCUGAGAUCGGCCCUCGUGGUCUCUGAGCAGCCCAGCUUUUGAGAAAGCAAACGCCUCUUCGAUUUCUGAGAUCGGCCCUCGUGGUCUCUGAGCAGCCCAGCUUUUGAGAAAGCAAACGCCUCUUCGAUUUCUGAAGCUCCGUCGAGUGCAGAUUUUUAUAGAGGCUGGCAUUAAGUUCCACAGCACACUUGAAUCUCUACCAGUAGAAGCUCAUUUCUUGCACUUCUAAGAUCUUGAUUUGUCUGACCUCUUCCUUCUUCAACACAUUUGAAAAUGUCUGGACCCUCCGACCGUCGUUUUGACUUGAACCUUGGAGAAGAGACAGCCACGCCUUCUCCAGACAACAUAUGGCGCCCAUCCUUCAUAUCCCCUACUGGUCCUCUUACCGUUGGGGAUUCUGUGAUGAAGAAUGAUAUGACCGCUGCAGUGGUGGCCAGGAACCUUCUCACUCCCAAAGAUAACAGACUACUUUCCAAACGGUCUGAUGAGUUGGCUGUUAAGGACUCUCUCUGGCUCUUAGUGUUCAGUGUGCAGGUUCUGUGUCUAAUAUGGCCCAACGCCUAUUUGCUAGAACCCGCCAAGUUGAAUCAUUGGCUGCUGAAGUGAUGAGUCUCAAACAGGAGAUUAGAGGGCUCAAGCAUGAGAAUAAGCAGUUGCACCGGCUCGCCCAUGACUAUGCUACAAACAUGAAGAGGAAGCUUGACCAGAUGAAGGAAUCUGAUGGUAAGGUUUUACUUGAUCAUCAGCGGUUUGUGGGUUUGUUCCAAAGGCAUUUAUUGCCUUCGUCCUCUAGGGUUGUACCUGGUAAUGAAGCUUCAAAUGAUGAACCUCCAAUGCCUCCUCCUUCUGGGGUUUUGUCAAGUACUGAGGCUCCGGAUAACCACCCUCCGGUGCUUUCUCUUUCUGGGGCUCUACCGACUGCUGAGACUUCCCCUAAGUAACCUUUGUGAAGGCUCCCUUUUGUUUGUUUAUUUUGACUCAUGUAUAUGUACAUAUUUGUGGCUUAUCGAAAAUAUUAAUAAAUAAGCUUUGCUUCAUUUCAACAUAUUGUGUUAAAUACACCAAAGCCUUCUUCAUAAAGUUCUUUGAAUUUUUGCUUUUGUUGAAACCUGUAUUGUUGAAGCUUUGUGAGUGAAGCAUGUAGUUUGAGGUAGUGUUCCCUUAAUUUCCCGAGUGAGGAAAACUUCUCGGUUGGAGACUUGAAAAAUCCAAGUCACUGAGUGGUUGUGAGACUGCCGAGUAUCAACGUGCAGUAGCAUAUGGUGGGAGUCCCCCAAGUCUUCAGGCGAAGAGAGUUGCCGAAUGAGGUGUCUCGCGUGUUACUAAUUUGUCAAAGUAACGAAUCCUUGUUUCGAUGUCACACAUUCGUAUAUGCUUUAUCUAAAAAUAUUUCCAACUUUUGUGUGUUUGAUGCUGCAUGCUAUUGACUAGACAAGAUCAAGUGCAAUUAGUAGCUUUUCUCUCUUUUUCAUCUUUUCUUUGGUGGAAUUGCUUUUCGUUUCCACUAAUCAGCCUGAGUGGAUGCAAGAUAACACCAUCUCUAUAGCUCAGAUUGCAAAGUCGUCUUCAUGAAAGUUUUCCUUAUCUUGUGAACUACAACAUAUCCAAAUUUGAGAUCCAUCGGAGUAGUACAACUUCAGAAAUUCAAGUAUGAUGAGUAA
rnacentral:lncRNA from 1 species